CAGGCAACAAACAUGGUACAUAAAACUAACCAGGAUAUUUUGUAAAGUCCAACACAUGUGUUGCUGUAUCGUAAUCAGCAGCCAUCUCAUGAAAGUGAUUAGAAUGUCAAAUGUAUCAUGGUAAAAACUUGAAUAUUUGUAGUCCCGCAGGAUAUAAGAAAUCAACAAGAUAGCAUUCAGUUACAGGACACAGACUGGUCUAAGGUGCGGUAGCACCAGAACUCCUCUCAGGUCUAUCGAGCUGUCCAUAUUGCUACCAUUGUUCAGCAUACCAAAUUGUUUGCAUUUCUAGAAUUAUUUCUGUUGUACUAAUCUGUCCCCAUUCCUAGAAUUUAUUAAGCACAUACGGGAAAUUCAUAAUUCUACAUAUUUCAUCAACAAUAACUAGCAAUAUCUAGGUAACUUCUAAUUGCUACAUCUGGCAUUAUAUUUAAAAAUAUGGUGUAGGUUCGUCUCAUGAAAUAUAAAUUGAUACAGAAACAUGAAACAAGAACCCAAAGAGAGGAAACAAAAGCAACAGAUGCCAAACACAGAUCAGAGAUGAAUGUGCAAAAUCUCAGAACAUGAUUUCAACUAAAUCUGCACAAAGAAAAUACCAAAUCUCCAGAAUCGUUGUAUACCUCUGGCAGGUAUUCUUUCAACAUCUGUGCUGGGCUGACAGGCUCACUGAACUUGCCAUGGCCUAAAGCUGUCCUGCUUCAGCAUAUUACAAUUCACUCGCCAUGGCCUAAACAAGUAAAAGAAGAUAAACAAAUUUAGAAAGAGAUUUAUUGAAUAAAUAUAAAACAAUUUCUGGUUCAAUGGUUAAAUCUCAUGAACAUAUUCUAUUCAGUAGUAACCAGCGGGCGGCAGCAAAGGAAAUCAACGCCAAUGUACCCAAAAUGAGGAACAGUACUGCUACUACUUGCCAUCAGAACUGAGCUAAAGCAAACAUGGUGUAUAGAAACCUGGAGGGAAAAGGUAAGGACAGACUAGUACACCAUGUGGACGUGGAUCUCCGGCUUGCACCUCAUCCGCCAGUCAGCAUGUCUCCUUCGAUGCUGUUCUGCCUCAGAUGACUGAGGGCAAGCAACGCCAUAUACCGGAACAGUUGUGCGGGGUCCUCGCUAAGGUUGAGCGCAGCAGCUUCCUCUUCUUGGACACCACGAGUUGGCACGCGGGAGGCACCACAAGGCCAAGAAACGCAAAGGGAGCAGCAAACGGCAAUAACUUUUAAUUUCCCGAUGGGUCCUGGUGGACAGUGUUAUCUUUAGACUCAGAAUGGCAUGCUAAGGCAGAAUCAGUCAGAGUCACUCAGGUAGCCACACCAUCAGAAGCAGAAGCUGGUGAGGCAAGAAACUUCUCUUGCAAUAGUCCAGACACUGUGUUAUAGGAGAACUUAUAACACUAAACAUAAGCAGUAGAACAUAACGAUAUCAUAAUCAAUCAAAGUUUUUUUUUUAAAUUGAACUGCAUAGUCUGGGUAUAGUGAAGAUCAAAUGACUUACCUUAUAGAUAACCUCCUUAAUAUCGACACGAACAUUCAAGAGGUAAGGUCUUGCCUCUCACUGCACUCAGCCAGCAAUCUGAAAUGUACAAAAUGCCAUCUCAACCAUAUCAUAAGUUCAUAACAAGAUGCAUGAUUCAACUUCACGAUCAGACCACAAAAUGCAAUCUAGAGGAAAACACGAACAAUGAUAGGGAACACAUCUUUUAAGGAAUCUUGCUUCGUUCUGCAUUUAAUUCCAACUUCCUGUUGACAAGCACUAAUUUUCUAGUGUACUAACACAUCAUUUAAGUCAACUUUGUCAAACUCAUUGAGGAUAUCACAUAGCAAAAUCCUCUUUGAUCUAUGGGAUAACAUGAAGAAAGAUUUAGAUACAGAUUGAAAUUAAAGGGAAACAAAAACAUAUGUGACGAGAUUAGACAACCUGAGUGUGAGGGAUAGUGUGAAGAGGGCCCAUUGGUGCUGGGAUAAUUUAUCACCAAAAAUCACCACAUGAACAAUUUCCAUUCCUAAAAUGAUGGAAUCGAUUCCCAUCUCUAAUGUCAAUUUCUCUCUUGGUGACAUGGGAAACAAAUUUGAUGAAACUGUGACAGUCACCACAUAUUCUGAGGUUCUUCAUUAUCUGAAUGGGCAUGCCCUUGGGUGUAACAAGAAGGCCAUAAGCAACAGCAAGCUUCUCACUAUGGUACAGAAGUGAGCUCUCCUUCUGCUCUUCAUCUAUGUCAUGGAGAACAAAUUCCGUGUCAGGCACAUAUCCUGUAGCUUUUAACAAAGUAUACAACUCCUGAAGGGUAGCAUAUAUAUCUUGAAUUUGCUCAUGUUCCUCAUCUCCAGUGACAAAUGAGUGCAUUCUGUUCUUUAUCUGCAUCCAGCUACAACCAGGUUCCUUGUUCACACCUUGUUCUUUCAUAAGUUUUCGUACCUUCGCAACUUCAUCCCACAUCCCUUGGGAGGAGUAUAUAUUUGACAACAUAACAUAAUUGCCAGCAUUUGAUGGCUCAAUAGAGAAAAGUUUCUCAGCUGCUCUUCUACCAAUAUGUACGUUCUUGUGAAUCUUGCAUGCCCCAAGAAGAGCACUCCAGAUCACCGCAUCUGGCUCAAUAGGCAUAUCAUAAAUAAACUGUUCAGCUCCUUGCACAUCACCAGCUCGCCCAAGAAGGUCCACCAUGCAAGCAUAGUGCUCCAGCAGAGGAGUUAAUCCAUAAUCACAGCUCAUGGAUUUGAAAAACUGACGCCCUACAUCUACCAAACCAGAAUGGCUACACGCAUGUAAAAGCCCCACAAAAGUGACCUCAUUUGGCAACACUCCUGCAGAUUCCAUUUGUUGAUAUAUCCUGAUGGCUUCUCUUCCAAGGCCAUGUUGAGCAUAGCCUGUAAUAACGGUAUUCCAUGUAAAAAUGUCUCUUUCCUCCAUUGAAUCAAAAACCUUAAGGGAAUCUGCAGAACCACACUUGAAAUACAUCGAGAUGAGAGCAUUAGCCACUAUAAGUCCUGAAUCCAUACCUAGCUUGACAGCAAGGGUGUGAAUCUGCUGUCCAAGUUUGGAAGCACCAAGAUUUCCCCCAACACCAAGAAGUAUCGUUAAUAUUGGUGAAUUGGGUAACUCAUGCUCCUGAAGCAUACUUCUGAAAAUCUCUAUUGCGUCAUUCCCCUGGUCAGCUUGUGCGUAUGCAGAUAUUAUAGUAGUCCAAGAAACAACAUCUCGAAUGGGCAUAUUGUCAAAUGUAUCUCUUGCUUCUUCCAACAUAUCAUUCUGUACAAGUGCAGUAAUAAAAGAGUUAUAUGACACUGUAUCUUUAACUGUCAUGCGAUCAAAGAUUUGUCUCACAAAACCUAUGUUUUUGCACUUGGCGUACAUAGUAAUCAGUGCAUUACAUACAUAGCUAUUGAACUGACAACCAGCCUUUACUGCAAGCGAAUGCACCUGCUUUCCUGUCUCAAGAGCUUCAAUAUUCGAACAAGCAAAGAAGCUACUAGUCAAACUAGACAGGCUAGGUAACAUCCCGUUCCGGUGGAGCGCCUGUAGCAAAACCAAAGCUUGUUCACUCCUCCCGUUCUGUGCAUACCCUGCAACCAUCCCAGCCCAAGAUAUUGUAUUUCUAAAAGGCAUCCUGUUGAAAAGCUCUUCUGCCUCAUCAACCAUUUCAUUCUGCAUGUACCCAGUAAUCAUGGCAUUCCAGGAUACAGUAUUAGGCUCAGGAAUCUGAUCAAAUAAAACCCUUGCAUCAUUAAUCUUUCCACACUGAGCAAGCCCUGUGAGCAUUGCAGUCCGACUAGGAACAGACUUUAGAGGGUCCCUUUGAUAGACAGUAACAGCAUCAUCUAUCCGUCCACCUUGAGAUAGUGCAGAGAUCAUGGUUGACCAUGUGUACUCAUUCCUCUCUGCCAUUCCUUCAAAGAAUUUGACUGCAGUGUCAAGCAUACUCACACCCCUAGUGUAUGCAUUAAGCAUGGCAGUGCCUAUUACCACAUCCCUCUCAAAGCCAGCCUUAUGGACAAGAACGUGGAUACUCUCUAGUAUGUUGAGAUUACCAAGGUGACUUAUAGCUGAAAGCACAGAGACUAGGUUUGGUUGCUCUGGUGACAUUCCUUCAUAGUGCAUCAUGCGAAACAUGUCCCAAGCCUUACCAUGCUGCUCAAUCAGAACAUACCCAGAAAUCAUCACUGUCCAAGAAACUGUGUUGCGUUCUGGCAUUUGUUCAAACAGAUUCCUUGCAUCCACCAUCUGCCGGCUAUGGCAGUACCCAGUAAGCAUUGCAUUCCACGACGAGACAUCCCUGCACGGCAUUGCAUCGAACAGCCUUCGCGCAAGGGUGACGUCCCCAUUCUGGACAUAGCAGGUGACCAUGGCAUUCCACGCCACGGUGUUCCGCACGGGCAUUUCAUCGAACACCCUGCGAGCGUCGCGCACGCGCCCGGCGCGCCCGUAGCCCGACAAGAGAAUGGUGCCCGUGCGCAGGUUCCCGCCGGAUAUCGCGUCGGCGAGCGACCUCGCGGCGUCGGGCAUCCCGUUGUUGCAGUAGGCGGAGAUCAUGGAGUUCCAGGCGAUGAUGUCGCGGAAGGGCAUCGCGUCGAACACCUCCCUGGCCUCGCUCAAGCGGCCGAGGCGGCCGAGCUCCCGGAUACGGGCGCUUUGCGCGGAGGUGCCGGACGGCCGCGGGACGCGCCGCGCGGGGAUCGGGGCGGCGGCUCGGGCGGCGGCGGAUGAGAGGAAGCGACGGAGGUGCUGACGGUGAGCCAUCGGUGGCGUGCUCCAUUUGAUCGGAAACACCAUAGGAGCGGCGUGUUUUUUGGGGUGAGCAGUGGGCAGUGGCCGGACGCCGGCUACGGCUACGACCGCUGAACUUACUCAGGAUCACUAUGGGCCAUACGGCCGCCGCCGGCUGAGCGAUUCUCGCGAGGAAGAUGGAACCAGCGCGGGCACCCGCCGCCUACUGAUUUUUUUUUUAAUAAACCGGGUUUAUAUUUCACAUCAUGUUUACAUUCCAUUUCUUAUAAACACACCUCCGUGGGAAAAAGAAACAUUACAGCUUAGUCCUUUUGCAUGAUCCUCGGUCGUCCUCGUCGUCGGCGAUCGGAGCAGCCACACGACGCACUCUCGUCGCACCAAAGGUUGAAAAGGAGACACAUCGAGCUUGCAGCUUGAAGCCGACCUCCUUUCCAACGAAGGAAUUUCAUAAUUUUUCAUUGCCACCAAAAAAUAGCAUGUCGAACAUGUCGAUAUGCUCUGUAACCGCUGAACGCCCUAGCAGAAGAAAAUAGCCAUCAGCCAUCGCAUCACCGGGAGUCAAGGGAUCUGGCACCUCAAGAACUAACAGUGGCCCCGGCUCGCUGGACAACAACACAACCCGAAGGUCGAAGGGGAAGUAAACCACCAAAACAGGUGGGAGACAAAAUCUAAUCUGAUUUCUCAGCACGUUGGUAGACAUACCUCCCAAGACUUCCGCUGGAAAGAGCUGCCACACCUCCGACAGAGACGAAGGAGGGAUAGUAACCUGAGCAGCAACGUGUCGCCACCCAAGGACAGACUAUCCUCCAUGGAUUCUCACCGAAGAAGGCAACAACAAGCUUGUUGAUGCAGCCGCCGGCUCCACCACCGUCGCAACCUCCGACGACUCUCCAGAGGAACAAAAGAACCGACGGCCAUCUAUACAACACCACCGGUACACCUACCCUACUAUCUAACUAUAGUAUAUGCAAGGAAACUACAGAUCUACCACCGAUUCGUUCGAUCCCCCUCUGACGCCGGCGAGGGUGCCAGAGGCGAGAGGACAGCUGUUGGGGUUCACCCAAGCAACAGUAGGAACGUCACGACAAACGAAGAUAAAGGUCGUUCAGACAAACAUGACAAUAGCUAUCCUAUCAGUGAUUAAUGCCCAUCCCAGGGGGGACGGUUCAUCUCCCUUUAUAGGACCAUAAAGUUACAUUUCCGCAUUCCCGUUAUACACACACUCAACCACUACAUCCUAAGAAUAUUCCGUAUAGGACAGUAACUUGGUUCCUAUUCAAAAUGUCGCUUUCACAACAGAAUUACAUUUCCAACCUUCUCCAAGAUUCUUAUUGCAAAGCUAUCCUACUGUAGUGUGGUCCCAGGGAUGUCUUGAUCACCCUCUUCCUCAUUCAUAAGCUUCGUCGGGACCGAGCAAGCUUCCGUAAACUUCCCACCUUCUUUGGUCGAAGUCAGCUAACUUCGGCUUUUGGUCACGGAAUCUCCCCGAAGCCAAAUCACUGGGAGCUCCGUGGGGGAUUUAACUUCGCGAGUCAUUGCCAGCAAAACAACAGAGUGGACACCUUCGUGAUAGUUGACUUCAGUUAUUUGCUGGCUUCGUAAAAAGGGAAGGUGACGAGUUUGGAGUCGAUUAAGAGAGAGGGUCCCUGCCAGCGCCGUUCAGGGUGCGUUGUGGGGCGGUUCCCAACAACAGCGAUGAAUCGGUGGAGGAGACGCGGAAUCACCCUGGAGUCGCCGCUUGCCGCUACAGCAAGGGGAAAUAAGGAUCAAGAGGGGCUCACUGGGCCCAUGAUUCUCCCCCGCCGCCUACUGACUGAUCCCCAUCUAGCCUAAUUCCCUGCCGAAGUGCCGGACUAGUCAGCCCAAUGUUUUGGAUUCGGCCUGCGAGAGCAGAUUUCUUGGAGAGCGUCGAUGGACUGAAAAUGUUCCCUUAGAUUUGUUUGGUACUAUUGGAUUGAAGUAGAAUGGGAGGGAUAGGAGGGAAAAUUAGUUCAUUUUAAACCCAAUCCCUUUCAUUCUCUUCCAAUACUCUUCUGUCAAAACAAACCUUUACCGUCAACGACAGUUUUAACGUCGCAGUGAGACUCAGUUCCCCUCCUUGAGACACAAACCUCGAAAGCCGCAUGCUAGACCUAAACUUAUUCGCACAUACACGCCUGCAAUAUAUUCACGAAGAUCAGACUUCGGUGGCGACGAGAAACUCGCCUCCUAUUGCGCUGCAUAGGGCGCCUGAGCUUACCAGCAAAUUUUUUUGGUGGAGUAAAUCCCCUGGUAAGCAACCCAGGCCAAAGCCAGGCCCUUGCCAACUGAGCUCCCGCUCAGGAGGCUGACGUUUCAUGUGGUAGUAAGAUAAAGGAGCGCAGCAACCGACCAUCCAACGGCACAGAGACUUCAAUCAGAUACAAUGCAAAAGUUAGUAUUGUCCAAUAGGUAGAUGCUCCCAUAAAGAAAUCCUUCCUCUUACCAAUGCAAACACUACAAGGGUGGUAGAUGCCAAACCAAACAACAACCCAAGAACCUUAUAUCAAAGCAGUUAUCGCUAAAUACUCAAAACAUUACAAAUGCCAGAUAGAGAAGGCUAUUGUCUCAUCAGACGCUUAACACAUUACAUGCCACAAAAGAUACUGAUCCAAGAAAAUUACUGGAAGAAAAAAAAGGGAUACGCCCAGCACAUUGCAGGCUUCAACCUACCAGAGCAUCACUAUAGUAGUCCUUGUUCACAGGAUUCAAGUAGGAAUUCCAUAGAAUCCUGAUAAAGUUGCUGCUUUGGAAUUUCCUUUGGCAGAACAUAGGAUCAGGCAAUGCGAGGCUUGAAGUAUCCAUCAGGACAUCGCUGACUUGACGGUAUGAAAUGUAGUCCCUGGGGAAAACAACCUGAGCCUUUAUGGAAGGAUUGCUCUUCAGGCCCAACUUGUGCCUGGUCGAUCUAGCCUGCUUCCUCUUGUCGACAGGGACAUGGAAAAUCUUCAUGAGCUGAAGCUUCUUGGCACUCUCCAGUAGCAUAUUGGCGAAUUGCAGGCCGAAGGUAUGCGUAUGCACCCACAAGUCGCUCAGGACGAUGGUUUUAACGCUGUCUCUCAGACAAGCAACACGUCCAGCCAAUUCUAGGAGAUUGGCGUAGGGAGCUUCAGAAUACAAUGUGUGUCUGAUGGAAGGGUCGGUGUAGAUCUGCGCACAGAUUGAUCGCGAGAAACGGAAUAAGAAUGUUUAGCGAGCCAUAUCGGGUAAGUUGCAUCAUGGCAAAUUAAACGAAAGGAUCAGAAAGCAUCUUACCUUGAUGUUAAGUGUUUCUACGCAAGGGAAAUAGUUAAGCACCUGCAGCAUAAGCUCCACUUGAGCAGGAUUACACAAGUUCAAGCACAGUCCAAGGAUCUUGACACUGCGGAUUGGGCAUGACGGCUCCAGAAUCAUGCCCAGCAUCUGCGACGACGAACAUAUAUUUAUAUAUAUGGAACAUAAGCACAGUUCAUGUAUGGACCAGAAAAGAAAGCACUAAAAUCUUGGAAACAAACGGUGGAAAGAUCAUAUCACCAUAAUGUUUCCCGCGAUCGAUCGUCGAGUCCGAGGAAGGUCCAUGGUCAGGAAGCCAAGGAUCUCCAACUUCGGCGCGUGGACGAGGGUCACCUUGCAGUAGCUCGUGUCAAUGGAGACCUCUCCGAGUAGGCGCUCCAGGUUGGGUGCAUCCACGAUGACGACCCCCUUCAGCCCGAGAACCUCCACACAAAGGCUGCGGAGGCUCCGUGACCGGAUCUGCAAGGUGCAGCCGUAGUCUUCAGUACCUUCUACGUCGAUGAGCCUGUCCUUUUCGUCCUUGUAGUACGAGGAGAGCAGAAAGCUCUCGAGCUUGAAGCAUUGCUCCAGCAGAGCGUGCACGCCGGCCGCCGAGAAAUUGACGGCGCAGAGGGAGAGCUCCUUGAUGCUGCCGAAGACGGCUGGUAGUGGCUGCUCCGGGGGGAACCAGUCGCACCUGACCACUACAAUGGAGCGGAGCGGCGGGGCAGGGAAGAACUGGAUGGGGUCGGUGGAGUGGACGAUGAGCUCCUCCACGCCCCGCCCGACGAAGGCGUCGGUGUCGAUGCCGGACCCGUGGUCGCCGUGGCCGUGGAAGUGGGUCUUGGCUAGGCGGACGCGCGGGAUUGGCCCCUUGUGCUUCUCUAGGAUCUGGGAGAUCACGUCCACGCGCUCGGGGUGGAGGAUGGCUUCGUGGCGCGGGCGUCCCACCCUGCGCCGGGUAACAUGUUCGUCGUCCAGCGAGAUGGGGGAGCUCGCGAACACGCCUUUCCAGCCCUUGGACAGCGUGGUGGUGCGGCCCGCCUCCUUCAGCGGUAGGAGAAAGAGGAUCAAACCUUUGAUUUCGUCUGGGAGCUUGCUGAUGCGGUCGAGAUCACCGUCGCUAUUGCCGUCGCAGCCGCUUGGCAAAGAUGGAGGCUGCAUCAUCCUAGCUUCUUUGGGUGGCGCCUCUCCGCAUCGACGGGGAGUGGCAUGAGAGCAGUGGAGGGGUGUCCUACCGUGGAUGUUCUUCUUUUCCUGCGGGUGUUGGGAGAGGGCGGCGGCGGCGGUACAUGAUGAGUCCUUAUAUGAAACCCUAAAUUUGUAGGGUAGAGACAUAAAGGCGUAGAGCAAGUGAGAAGAGAUAUGGUAAUAGGGCCAGUAUUGUGGUUUUGCAGGCCCAAGGGCUAGGGCGGCCUACGGCCUACCACUUAGAGCACCCACAACUUUGGUUUCUCCGUCAAUGCCUCAAACGAAUAUUCAUAGUAUAUUCUCUUCCGAGCAUUAAAGUUGUCAUUGCACUGGUCGUUUAGUCGAUACUUGAUUCACAAAAUUAGGCACCGAGACCUCUACUUUAUCGACAAAUCAAAUAUUAGGUGCCUAAGCAAUAGCACGAGUGGUAGUUAAUAUUUGGUGGGACUCGCUUGUCAACGGUUUAGGCGAAAUUCAUAUAUCUAUGCAGAUAUGCUUAUUGCAUUUUUAUCGGUGCUAGCUUGGUGUUUCAAGCUCGAUGCUCUUCCCUGCACGCUUUUCGUUUCAUCCCUUAAAAGAACAUCAUUCUAGUUUCCACUUACAAUGUACCUUUUUAAUAAAUCAGUUCACCUUUAUAUGUAAUUGUUGGGUAAACACCCUAGCUUCCUAGAGUAGUAGAGUGUUAAUAUAGUGUGAGUUAGUUGCAUCGCAAUAUAAUCAUGGCUCCCAAAUGUCACGGUGCAUGGAAGGGAAGGAAAGUACAAAACACCUUCAUACAUGAACAUAGUACCAAACCCCAAGAGGUAGCUAAUUCCUCCUUUCGUUUAUCUCUAUAAUGAGAGUGGGGGUUUAGUUUUUGCACAACUUGUGAUGUGGUCUCAAGAGGGGGGUGUCCUACUGUCAAUUUUAUAUAGAAUUUUCUCUUUUUUUUCUUCUUGCGGGCGUAGAUGGGAGGGUGUGACAGCAGUGCGGCAUAUAUAGGAUGAGUCCUUGUAAUGCCACCUAGAUGAAACCCUAGCUUUUUAGGGUAGCGCAACACAAGUGGGAGGAGAUGCAGGGGAGAGGGUGCAGCGGCGGCGGCGGUAUGCAUGGCAUAAGUUGUCCUUGUAAUCCUCUAGAUGAAAUCCUAGUUUUUUCUAUGGUAGUGUAAGUGAGAGGAGAUAAAUGGUAAUGGGACUCAGGGCGGCCUACGGCCUACCAUUUGGAGCAGCCAUACCGUUGGUUUUUUCAUCAAUGCCUCAAACGAAUAUUCAUAGCGUAUUCACUUCUAAGCAUUGAAGCUUGCCCAUUGCAGUAACUGGUACUUAGAUUCAAAAAAUUAGGUAAGAAGGGUUCUACAUUGAUGUCUGACAAAUUAAAUAUUAGGGAGCCUGAGCAAGGGGAGCUGAAGUUGUAGUUAAUAUUUGGUGAGACCCAUUUGCUAGUGAUGCGUGCGUGUCGUUAUAUUAAUAGAUGGAAAAAGAAAUGGUUCGAUUACAUGUUGAUUCCACAAUCGCGCCAUUGAGAAGAGUAAACCACCGUGCACACUCCUCACUACAACAGCUCCCAAGCACCUUUGCCCCAACCAUCCUGCACAAGGUUGCUUGGUCAGCCACUUCUUGCAGGACUAGCUGGGGUCUAGGCUGGCAGCCAUCAAAGAUGCAACGGUUGCGGAGCUUCCAUAUCGACCAGGCUGUGAGGAUCACCAGGGGGUUCAGUCCCUUCCUAGACGUCUUCGGCGCCCUAUGCACAGUCCACCGCCCCAAUCCUGGAAGUCCUGAGAUGGUGCAAGGUUCUGCAGGCCGAUCCUGCCAAGAAUGGCUGUCCAAACCUGCCGAGUGAAGAAAUAGGACAUGAGGAUGUGCUGGACCGUCUCCUCUUCUUGGUCGCAGAGAAGGCAUUGUCCGGGUGCUGGAGACACCAACGCGCAAGGCGAUCUGCCAUCCAACAUCUGUUGUGCGUGGCCAGCCAGAGAAACAACUUGCACCGCAGUGGCGCCCAGGACUUCCACAACCGCUUGCAAGGUUCAAAACGAGUUGAACAAAUGAAGAACCUGGCGUAAGCUGAUCGGGUGGAGUAAGUUUCUGAGCUCUCCGGCGUCCACAGGUGUUGAUCCGGCUGGUUCUCUAGAAGUUGGAGGUUCUCCAGCGCCUCCCACAGCCCAGGUAGUCCACGAUCGCAGGCACCGACAAACCACCUCUGAUAUCGGUGACCCACCGUUGGUCUUGCAUGGCCUCGUGAACCGUCCGCCUAGACAGAAUCUGCUUGUUCAUGAAUGGAAAGUACGCCGGUGCGAGAUCCUGAAUAGACUUGCCGUGGAGCCAACAAUCCGUCCAGAAGAGGGUCGUUCUCCCAUCGCCGACCAAGGAGGAUGUCGAGAUGGCGAACAUGGCAGCGGCAUUGGGAUGCACCUUAAUGUUGAAAGCCGCCCAUGGGCGCUUCGGGUCAAUCUUACGCAACCAGAGCCACCACAUCCGGAGCGCCCACGAGCACCUCCAAGUUGUGGACUCCCAGCCCUCCAAGCUCGAUCGGGCGACAAACCCGCUCCCACGCAACUGGACAAUGCCUCCCAUUCACCUGCUGGCACCCUUUCCACAAGGAGGCCCAUCGCCUCUUAUCGAUGGCGCGGAUCAGCCAUUUGGACACGUCCAGGGCGAUCAACUUAUAGAUCGGCACUGCCGUCAAGACCGCCUUGACCAGGAUCGAACGUCCGGCCAUGGUCAUCAGUGCCGCCUUCCAUCCUGGAAGCAUGUCGGCAAUCCGACCGAUGAUGGGUUGCAGGUCCGCUUUGGAGAGCUUCCGGAUGGAGAGCGGCAGUCCAAGGUACUUAGGGAAAUUGAUUACCUCGCAAGGCAUGGCCUCGGAGAUAACCUCAAGCUGCUCGGUGUCGCAACGGAUUGGGACGAUGGAGCUUUUCUGCAUGUUGGUCUGAAGACCGCUUGCCUACAAAAGAUGCAGAAAAAGCGGCAGUCCACGCCGUAAGAUGUGUAAACAUUUGUAUUUCCACUUCAUCUUACGAAACAACAUGAGUACAUGACCAAAGAGUUCCUCCAAAAAAAAACAUUCAAGGAUAAUGUCAUGGAGCAGGACUGGUGGCACCCUCCUGAGAAGAAAGCGCAGCGCUGCUCCGACGAACUUCUCAUCAGACAGCACGAAAUGGUCAGCGGCCUUCCUCGAGCUCGAGGCACUCCUGCAGCUGCGCCACCACGUCGGUCAUGGUGGGCCGCUGCGCGGGCACCUGCGUGGUGCACUUGAGCGCGACGUCGGCGGCCUUCCACGCGGCGUUGGCGUCGUAGCAGCCGCCACGCAGGCCCGCGUCCACCACGUCCUCGAUGUUCCCGCGCGCAAGGCGCUGCCGCACCCACUGCACGAUGUUGGUGGGCUCCGGACACCGCAGGAUCGGCGGCUUCCCCGUGAUCACCUCCAGCAGCACGACGCCGAAGCUGUACACGUCGCUCUUCUCCGUCAGCUGCAAGGCCGCCGCGUACCUGCAUACGUUCAUGCACAACACGCAGAUCCUAUUGUCACCUCUUCGAUGAAUUGUUUUCCAAGAAUCAAUCGACUCAGCUAGCUCAAAAUGGUAAGGAAAGGGACGACAGGCGAAGCUAGCAUAACAUGUACACGUACUCAGGGGCAAGGUAGCCAUGUGUGCCGACCACCCUGUCUGUGGACACAUGGGUGUCGUCUUCGCGGCGGAAGGCCUUGAGCAGGCCGAAAUCAGCGAUCUUGGCCUCGAGGUUUGCAUUCAGCAGGAUGUUCGACGUCUUCACGUCCCUGUGUACGAAAGCUGGGCUGCACGCCUUGUGCAGAUACUCAAGCCCUGCGUUGGUUCAUGCAAGAUGGGAUCAACGAAACGACCACACCGGAGCCGAUAUGAUCAAUCUGAAUAGAUGUUUACCUUGUGCGGACUCCAGUGCAAUGCGGAGCCUCUGUCUCCAGGUUAGAGGUCCAGCGUUGCCAUCUUCCCCUGCCGAGGAUCGUCAAAAGAGAUUUUUGGAGAGAAAUUUCUGAGCUCUGACAAGAGAAAUGGCAUACCUCUAAGUUUGUCCUCCAGGGUUCCUUCUGACAUAUACUCAUAGACAAGUGCCAAGUACUCUCCAUCCUUGCAGUAACCGAUCAAGGAGACAAGAUUCUUGUGAUGGAUCUUUGUUAAGGUCUGAGCCUGAGAAACGAGAAAAAAAACAUUUCUCCAAACUGAGCAACAAAUUUUCAGUAACAGUAUAUCUUGGUGCACCAGCUGAACCUGAUAAACAUUGUGUUACCUCUGUCAGGAACUCUCUGACACCUUGAUUGGAAGAUUCAGACCGCAGCUUGACUGCGACCUGGGUGCCAUCCUCCAAGAAGCCAUCGUAGACAGACCCGAAUCCUCCUCGGCCAAGCACGCGCUGGAAGUUAUUCGUGAUCAUCUCCAGCUCCUUGUACGUGAACCGGCGGUUCUCAAGCUGCGGCAACCCAUGUCCAUUACCACUCUGGGAGCGUGACCGCGCGUCGGUCGCCUCAUUCUGUGGCUUCACACUGUUCUCUGCCAGGAGCGAAGAUAGUAGCAUUAGGGACUGUUACUUACAAAUGUGACAAGUUGAGCGAGUUCAUGUGUGAAUGCUGAAGUUUACCUUUCUUUCUUCUCAGUAACCAAAGCAAUAGUACCAGUGCUGCAAUCACCACAAGUAUCACUAUUGGAACAGCAAUAUAUACGGCAUUGAUCUUCUUUCUUGUGAGCUGGCAAGAAUCUCCAUUGCUGCAAAGGUUUGGGUUGUCUCCAUACCUGUCAAAACGAAGCAGCACUUAUUACUAGCCAUCGUACACGAGAAAAUUGAUAUUGGCAAAACCUUAUGGGGGCCAAAUAAUUGAGGAUUAACCUCAGCUUCAGGGAGCCAUUUUGAAUCCUUUUCAGAAGCCCGGAUGGAAUCGAUCCAUUAAGCUGAUUGUCUGUCAAAUCUCUGAAAGAAACAAAUGUAGUAUUGAUUUCAAUGUGUCGAGUGUAUUGACAAUUUCAUUUUGUUUACUAACAUACUAAAAUUUAUAGCAUCAGCAUGGGCUAGACUAGAGUUGCUUACAUAACCUUCAGAGAGGACAGUUGUGAAAGGACGUCAGGAAUUGAGCCUGUCAAGUUAUUGUGCGACAAAUCCCUGAAAAAGAAAUGGCAGGCAUUGACAAAUGUAUCUCUUUCAUUCAGUAGGUUCAAAUACGAACCUGGAUACGAAACUUCAUACUUACAAGUACUGGAUUGUUGUGAGUUUGGAGAAGUACAAUGAUAUAGCACCACUUAAGUCACUGGAUGAAAGAUUUCUGUAAUACAUUCAACGUUUCAGAAUUCAGAUUUCAUACAUUUUUUUUAACUAUAUGACUUCAUAUAUUCUCAUGUAAAUUUGAACUUACACAGUUAUGAUUCUAGGAGGACCGGAAGUGUCAUAGCUGCAGCUCAACCCAUCCCACGCAAGAGUCUUCGGAACGCAGGGGUCACCCAUCCAGUUCUUCUUUAGCUGAUAGUUGUCCUUGAUCGCCAUAAUUGCAGAAACUGUUGGAUUUUUCAGAAACAAGACACAGAACAGAAGCAGUAAGGCCAUGCUCUAUCUCUCUAUUCUCUACUCAAUACUCAUCAGUCAUCACUAUAAACGGACAUGUUGAGCGAUCAUGUACUUUACCAUCCUGUCCAUACGUGCCAACGUUGGCUGUAGAUAUGAUUGAGAAAAUCUCGGCGGCGCUGAUGACCGGCGGCAGCGUCGAGUUCGCCGUGGCGUUCAUUGUGACUUUGUACUGGUUGAAACCCCAGUGGGGCGCUGUGUUAUAGAAGGUAUCGGUGAAGAGGUAGUGCGGUGUUACGGGGAGAUGGUAGAAAGUUCUGCCAUUGAUCGUUAUGAAGAACUGGCGCGUCGCCUUCGCGUCUAGACUCUGCAACUCCACGACAUGUAAGAUGCAGAUUUACCUGCAUUUUUUGCACUUGUUUAUAGUACAAAUAUUCGACAUAUAUUCUAGCACAGUAUUGAUGCACAAGCGAGCUUAGGAAUGGAGUAGAGCACAUUGUCCUGCCGUGAACUGGAGUAGAGUUUCGUACCCUGACGUGGGGUAGACGUGGUUCGGCACGGCGUCCCACGAGAACUCGAUGUUCUUGGAGGCGUUGAGGGGCGUGAUGGCGGUCUGCAUCACGGCAGACGGCGGCGCCAUGGCCGUCCCGCCCACCUGCUCCGUCGUCGAGAUCUCCGACCACUCCUCCGUGUCGAUCCACGGGGUCCAGGCGCGGUCGUACGGGUCGUCCGGGUACCUGACCACCAGCGUAGCAUUGGUCGGCCCGAAGUUGCGCCGGCCGAGCACGGCCAGCCCCUGCGUCGCGUUCACUUGCGGGUACAGCGCGCUCGUCAGCGGCCUCAGGUCCAGCCCGGAGAUGAACGGCGUCCCAGCGCCGGUGUCCACCAGGCAGACCUGCACGGAGUCGUCCGGGACGACGGCGAUGGCCUCGGCCAGAACCGCAGCGGAGGCGGCGGUGACGUUCACCGUCGUCCAGUAGUUGACGCCGAGGUGGACGUCGAAGACCGGCGGCUUGUUGAGCCCGUCGUAGUUGCCGUACAUGAACACAGCGCGGAAGAGGUACUUGGACCCCGGCGUGAGGGAGCCGAGGGUGUAGCAGCUGCGCGGCGCGCCGGGGAAGCUGCGCACGUUGAGGUAGCGCCUGGAGAAGGACGGGUUGAUGUACUCGGCCGAGACGUUGUGGUUGGCGCCGGCGUCGGUGAAGCCGGCGUCCGAGACGUAGGGCAGCUUGGUGGCGCCGUCCACGUAGCUGCUCUUCUCCGGGAUGCCGCAGUCUAUGCUUAUGAACCCUGCGCCGCGCAAUGCAUGCACACGGAGACGGUUUUCACGGCAUCGUACUUGCAAGGUGAGCUCACCCUGUUACUGAGAGAGUAGUGCAUGAUCGUGAGCUCACCUGUGCUGUCAGGCGCGACCUGGCCAUGAACGCGAAGUGCGGCGGCGACGGCGACGAGCAGGGGCAACCACGACCAAGCCGCCAUUGCUCUCCGCGUUGAUAGUGCAACUUGCACUACUGCGCACAUGCAACCACUCAGCAUCCAGCAACUAGCUAGGACUUGCACAUAAUAUGCAUUCAGCUAACCUAUGGUCAUAGACAACGAAAAAAAGACAGAAGCUAAAUUGCUGGACACACUAACUUAUUUAAUCACAUGCACCGGUCAAAGUCAAACGGUGUGAGAAAUGGUUAGGGACACUCGAGCCGCAGCCACAAUCAACGUUAUGAACCCCAACACAACUUGGACAAUUUUUUGAAACGAAUAUUUUUUUUUGAAACGAAACACAACUUGGACAAUUGAUUGGCACUUCUGUAAUGUUUGGUUCCACUUUCCACUGCAGAUAGGAAUGUGAAUCCUACCGCUUCCAAUAAAUAAAUGAAAGAAAGAAUGAAACAAGCUGUUCACAUGGAUUAGCCAUGGAGUUGACUUGACUACAGUUGGUCAACGGCCAUGCUAAUGGCACAGUGCAUGCUUCUAAGUUAUUGUUAAAUUUAGAUUUAUCCCAAAUCAAACUUUUAGUUUCGAACAAGUUUAUAGAAAAUAUAAUAAUAUCAACAAUAUCAAACUGCUUCAUUAAAUACACCAUGAAAUAUACUUUGAUACUGCAUUUGUUUGGUAUUGUAGAUAUUAUUAUAUUUUCUAUGAAUUCAGUUAAAAUUAGAAAAUUGUGAGUUAGAAUAAAAUCAACCUGACCAACAAUUGGAAACAGGGGACCAGUUCGACUUUCUAAACUUCUAACUUUUAAUGUGGAAUUGACAUGACAAUAGAGUUUCUUUCCUUUUAGUUUAUUAUUUUUUUGAAAGGAUAAGGUAGGAAAUUGUGGGAGCAUCUCCAGCAGUCUCCCAAUAAUAUUUCCCAAUAACUAAUUUAUGGGGAUAUCUCAAUAUCCAUUUCAUUUUUAUUAGGAGAGUUACUUUUGCAGUCUCCCAAUAAUCUCAUCCCCAUCCAACUACCGUAUUGGGAGAGUCACAACUCCUCCUUUAUUUAGGGAGAAUUAGAGCAUUUCCGGCAGUCUCUCAAUAAAUAUUCCCCAAUAACUAGUUAACGUGAUGUCCCAAUAUCCAUUUCAUUGUUAUUGAGAGAGUUACUUUUGCAGUCUCCCAAUAAUCUCAUCCCAAUCUAACUAUCGUACUGGGAGAGUCACCACUACUCCUUUAUUUAGAGAGAGUUUGGGUGAAUUAUUAGAUUGUUCCAAUAAUUAUUGAAAAAGGGAAAAGUAAAGGGAGACUGCUGGAGCACUAUAUUCUUAUCAACUCUCCCAACAUGGUAGUUGGAUUAGGGAAUGGAGACUGCUGGAGAUGCUCUUAGGGUGAAUUAUUGGAUUGUCCCAAUAAUUAUUAAAUUAUUGGAAAGAGGGAAAAGUAAAGGGAAUCUACUGGAGCACUAUAUUUUACUAACCCUUACAAUACGGUAGUUGGAUUGGGAAUUGGGGAACUGUUGGAGAUGCUCUCCUAUCCUAAUUUACAAUUAGACUUUACACGCUUGUACUAGAUUAUUUGAAAUUAUUAGUUAAGUCUUUGUGCGGUUGAGCUAAUAACCGAAAAGCUAGAAUAAUAAUAAUAUUUAACACAAAGAGUCCAAUUUGCAAAACCUCCAUUAGGAGCGUGGCCACACGGUCCUUUCUCUUUUUGUGUGUGUGCCCGCCCUCAUUCCUUCCCUUAUCUCUUUGUUUUAUUUUCAUUUACACAUCAAAACAUCUUGCCUACUCAAAGGCUACUCUUCCUAAUAUCUAACACUUUUCAUUUGUGUUUCUGAAAAAGCUUUCCAAAAAAAAUAGGAUAACUAUUCUAGAAAACUUUCUAAAUUUUUUCCGCAUAAAACUUUGGUGAAGAGGUUUUUAGUCUUUUUAAUCCUUAAUUAGUUACUUUUAAGAAGUUUCCCAUAUCUGUAUCUGAUAAGUUAUACAAAUGCGACAAGUAUUUUCUAUCAUAGAUUUAGAUCCAUGACAAAAAAUGUUCUCAUAUGUGACACGCUCUCAUCAUUGUGAAACCAUGGUAAAUUGGAUUUAGAAACAUAGGACAUGACUCUAUUUAGUACUUCCUCCUCCGUUCUAAAAAACAAGUCAUCUUAGGAAUUUUAGGAUAAAUUAACAAUGAAGUAAAAAUGACCUCAAUUGCCCUUAUUUAUUAGCCAUAUUUGACGCUAAUUAACUGUUGCAUGCCCACAUGUACAUGGAAACAUGCCAAAUCAAAUACAUUGACUUGUUUUUUUGACAAAUUUUGAAUCGUAGAAUGACUUAUUUUUUUAGGAUGGAUGGAUUAGUGAUUUAGUGAUGCGUUGUUGAUCCUCUCGCCUAAUCUGGUGCGGCAAUGGCUCUUCCCCUCCCCCUCCAUUCUCCUCCACUCUCCUUCCCCUACCUCCUCCCUCUGUUCUCCUCCUUCCUUUUCACGGAUCCAUAUAUGGAUUUUUCUUCAUCAGGUAAGAGGAGCGGUGUCCGCGUCUGAUGAGGGCAGAGGUGGGUUGUUGGAGAAAGGGUGGUGAACGUGUGAUGUAUCUCGAUGGCUUAGUAAAUGACGAAAAAAGAGGAAGGGUGGAGGACGAAGGGACCCUGCCAUAAGGGGUUUUUCAGAAAUUACUAACCCCCUAACAUUCCUUGACAUCAAGCUUUCUCACAUAUAGGAGCUUCCACCUGAGCCCUCAUCUACCCAUAGAAACACCCAAGCUAACUCAGGCAUGUGACAUCAAGCUCUCUCACAUGUAGAAGCUUCCACCUGAGGCCUCAUCCACCCAUAGAAACGCCCAAGCUAACUUAGGCAUUUCCAUGCCAUAAGAGGUUUUUCAGAAAUUACUAACCCCUAACAUUCCUUAACAUCAAGCUCUCUCACAUGUAGGAGCUUCCACUUGAGUUCUCAUCCACCCAUAGAAACACCCAAGCUAGCUCAUGCAUUUCCAUUUGCUCGUAACUCUUGGUAGAUUUGGUGCCGCCACCUCCUCCCACUUUCCAACGGUGCCGUGUCCUAGCCGCACCACCAUGUGCUUUGCACGCGCUUGUUUGUCAUGGCACCCCUUCCGUGCUACAUCUUGUUGGUAGUGCCACGUCCCACCGAAGGCUCCACAUGUUCGAGACACCACGUGGCCACCGCAAAUCGAGAUAUGUAGGAGUUCUCUAGCAACCACAACUAACUGGCCAUAAGUAUUUUCCUAAUCACCUUGGUAGCUGAAAGAAUAUAGAUUCAGCUAAUUAGAUCUGCUUCUGCUUCUUUUUCACGAACAUGCCUUAGCAUGUUUUUAUUAAGAGGAGCCAGCAUCGCUCAACAGGUUUGUGUAAAGAUGCAUGUAGGCCAAUAUGCUCAAUGUAUGUGGUCCUUAUUCACUUAAUUACACAAUAGCAUUCCGUAAUGCGUUCCAUGAACCCAUCUUUGGCAGUAUAACGCCAGAAUGUAUACACUUCGUAGCUAUGCAUGGACAUGUUGUCAAAAUAAUACACUGUGAAGCUUCGACAAUCAAGCCAUUUGCACAAUCUAACAUCUUCGUACUCCAAGGAGGUUUAUGGUACGCUGCAAUAUAAUCUUCAUGGUCAAUGCCUCGAUGGAUUCUUUCUGGCACGACUGCACGAAAUGCCCACAACCACCUUCUGCACGACACUCCCCUCCAAAAUUAAGAUCGCAAUUUGUGGCGGAGCAAAAAAGUCAGAAGUCCACUGGCAAUGGGCCCACGGCCACCGUAGUCGGGCUCCCAAGUUCGUGCCCCCAGCCAGCAAGGCCGUUGACCACCCCACAAAAAAGGCAACUUGCUCCACUUAUAGCUGCCUCCGUUAGCCACUGCUGCAAUAACAAACAGUCACUGACAUGCAGGUCCCGCAAUGAGCUGACAGCUAUUGCCAGAGAAGGUCCCGCCUGCCAGGGACUCGUCUGGAGAAGUUUUGUCGUAUGCCACGGCGUUGGGCCGGAUUGCUGUGCUGACGUGGUUAAUCAUAGUGGCCUUGAUGUAAUCAGUGUGCUCUGCCAGAGAGAUUUUUUUUUGAAACCUAAGAGAGAAUUUCUAAAACAGCCUUUGUUUAAUGUCUAGAACCAGUGCCUACAGCUGAGGAUAUAUCAUGCUCCAGUAGCUGCUUGAAAAUGGAGCGAUCCACGCCGAGAGCAAUGGCACCAGCAGCGGCAAGGUCGCGGCUGCUGCUUCUCUACCUCGCCGUCGCCGCCACCGCCGGCGUCCUCCAAGCUCGUGCGCAGCCUGACAGCAUCGGUAUGCUUAACCUCAUCUCGGCCUUCCUCUUUCGCAGAUCCUACUGUCUCUGAACAGCAUCACAGCACAAUGCGACGCACGCUAUGCACGGUUGACGAACUGGUGCCGUGAUCAGGUUUCAUCAGCAUCGACUGUGGCCUGCCGGGGACGGCGAGCUACGUGGACGACACCACCAAGCUGGCGUACGUCCCGGACGCCGCCUUCGUCGACACCGGCUCGAACCAGAACAUCUCGGCCGAGUACAUCACGCCGACGCUCGCCAAGCGCUACCACAACGUGCGCAGCUUCCCCGACGGCGUGCGCAACUGCUACACGCUCCGCUCCAUCGUGGCGGGGCUCAAGUACCUCCUCCGCGCCACCUUCAAGUACGGAAACUACGACAAGCUCGGCCGGCCGCCCAUCUUCGACCUCUACAUCGGCGUCAACUUCUGGACCAUGGUGAACAUCACGGACGCCGACAGCCCUGUGCCCCUCGAGGCCAUUGUCCUCGUGCCGGACGAUUUCGUGCAGGUCUGCCUGGUGAACACCGGCUCAGGGACGCCGUUCAUCUCCGGGCUGGACCUGAGGCCGCUCAAGACCACGCUCUACCCGCAGGUGAACGCGACGCAGGGCCUCGUCCUCUACAACAGGUUGAACUUCGGCCCGACCAAUAGCACGGCAAUCAUCAGGUGAGACUACUAAAAUGAUCCCACGGGAUGAUCACAUGUUCUUGCGGCGGUAAUCAAUCCGAAGCUCCGAACACCGGGAAAUCCUUGUACUAAUCGGCCGCUAUCAAUUGAUCAGGUACCCUGAUGAUCCACACGACCGUGUUUGGAUACCUUGGGUCAACACCGCCAUCUGGAACUCUGUGUCGACGACACUGAGGGUGGAGGACCUAGAAGACGGCGACAUUUUCGAGGUGCCGACCAAGGUGAUGCAGACGGCGAUCACGCCGCGGAACGUGUCCCAGAACAUCGAGUUCUCCUGGGACCCGGACCCGCAGCCCAAGGAUCCGACGCCGGGCUACGUCGCCAACAUGCACUUCUCCGAGCUGCAGCGCCUGCCCGCCAACGCCGGGCGCCAGUUCUACAUCAACCUCAAUGGCAAGCCGUGGUACCCAAAGGCCUACAAGCCAAUAUACCUCAUCUCCGAUGCCAUCUACAACCACAACCCCGCCCGGGGCUUCCCCCACUACAACAUCUCCAUCAACUCCACCGCCAACUCCACGUUGCCGCCGAUGAUCAACGCCGUCGAGGUCUUCUCUGUCAUCUCCACCACCAACGUUGGCACGGACUCCCAAGACGGUAAGUGCAUUUUUUUGCCAAAAAAGGAUAGUACGAGCAUGGAGACUCAUAGACACAUACUGCUCGUACAUGAGCUGAACACAAACAUGGCUGCAAUAAACAGUAUCUGCCAUCACGGCGAUCAGGGCCAAGUAUGGGGUGAAGAAGAACUGGAUGGGUGACCCGUGCGUACCCAAGACUCUCGCGUGGGAUGGGUUGGCAUGCAGCUAUGCCAUUUCCAGUGCUCCAAGGAUCACCAGCGUGUAAGUAUCUUAAAUCUGUGUACAACAUUGACUUAAAAUAUGCUAAUGAAAAAGAUGUGAAAGAAGUUUUUUUUAACGGUCAGAGGUGUAAAAAUAAACGCCCAGCUGGUAGCAUGAUGCCUCUCUGUAUCUCUUCACAGACAGUAAAAAAGCUCGAGAAAAAAAAUAGAAGUCCCUUUGCCCUAAAAAGGUCAUUCUAGUUUUGUUUAAGUCGAACUUUCUUAUGCUUAAUCAAAUUCAUAAAAAAAGUACAAACAUCUAUUAUAUCAUAUAAGUAUCAUUAGAACAUAUUUGGUGUCACAAAUAUAUCUUAUACUCCAUCUGUUCCAAAUUACAGGUCAUUCCAACUUUCUUGGAAAGUCAAAGCAUCUCAAGUUUGACCAAAUUUAUAUCAUAACUUACUAACAUUCAUGAUACUAAAUAAGUACCAUUAGUUUCGUCAUUAAAUAUAUUUUCAUAGUAUAUCUAUUCGGUGCUAUAAAUCUUUGUGAUCAUCUCUAUAAUUUUGGUCAAUUUAUUUGAUUCUCCAAGAAAAUUAGAAUGACUCAUAAUUUUGAACGAAAGGAGGAGUAAUAUGCAUUGUUGUCAACUCGAUAUUUCAUAUUUUGCAGAAACCUGUCCUUCAGCGGCUUGGACGGUGAUAUAUCGUCUUCUUUCGCAAAUCUUAAGGCCGUCCAAUACAUGUACGCGUGGAGCUCUUGAUCUAACUUAUCUCGUAGUGGAUCUCUGAAAAAAAUAACUUGACAUAUCUUGUUCCAUGUGUGUUGCAGGGAUCUGUCACACAACAACUUGGCAGGCUCAGUUCCUGACUCCCUUUCACAAUUAUCUUCACUGACAUUUCUGUAAGUCUGAAACUUGCCAAAUAUUAACUUUUCCUAUGCAUCACGUUGACUCAAUUCAGUAGCAUUUGGUUCCUCUCAGAGAUUUGACAGGCAACAAGCUCAGUGGAUCAAUUCCCUCGGGACUUCUCAAAAGAAUUCAAGACGGCUCCCUAAAUCUAAGGUCCACACUCUGAUCCUCUUUCGGUUCUAGCAAUUUAGCAAACAUGAUAUCGCAUUACUACUUGACAGUUUGAUUAAAUUAGUAUAGUUUUUAACCAUCUCAUCUGUUUGUAGAUAUGGCGAUAAUCCAAACCUCUGCACCAAUGGCAACUCAUGUCAGACGACAAAAAGGAAGACCAAGCUUGCCAUCUACAUUGCUGUUCCUGUAGUUCUGGUUGUGGUGACAGUAUCAGUGGUAGUGCUGCUCCUCUGCUUCUGUAGACGUAAAAAGCAAGGUGACACGUCAACUGUACUGCUGACUGAUCUAGCUAUCUCCCCAUGAUCCCAUCCUUAACACGAACCUGAUGCUGUAUAUGAUUUUCAGGAUCCACAAGCAACUCUGUGAAGCCUCAGAAUGAGACGCCGAUGAGCCACGCGCCAGCAGGUGGCGGCUCAUACCCGCAGAGCACGUUGCAGCUUGAGAACCGCCGCUUCACGUACAAGGAGCUGGAGAUGAUCACGAACAACUUCCAGCGCGUGCUCGGCCGGGGAGGCUUCGGCUACGUCUACGACGGCUUCUUGGAGGAUGGCACGCAGGUGGCUGUGAAGCUGCGGUCAGAUUCUUCCAACCAGGGCGUCAAGGAGUUCCUCGCUGAGGUAUAGGAUGUAUUCCUUGACGUACCAAUCCAGAUAGAGAUUUGCAACAAGAAACUUUGCGUCAGAUUUGACCACUAGUCGUGAUCGCCUUUUCAGGCCCAGACCUUGACAAGGAUUCAUCACAAGAAUCUGGUUUCGAUGAUCGGUUACUGCAAGGACGGGGACUACAUGGCACUUGUCUACGAGUACAUGUCCGAAGGAACCCUGCAAGAGCACAUUUCAGGUAUAUGAAGUUGUUUAGCAUUUCUGGACUUCACCCUGCAUGGUCCACUGCAACACUUCAAAAUUCAAACUGCCAAAUUGCUGACCCACUUGCAGGAAAUGGCCGCAACACUGGGUUCUUAAGCUGGAGACAGAGGCUCAAGAUUGCACUGGAGUCAGCCCAAGGUAACUCCUAACCCAGUUACGUAUUUCUUUUGGAGACAGUUUGUUAUUGAAGUUUUGAUUCUACUAGAGUUGUGAACACUGAUGUGCUUAUGCAGGGCUGGAGUAUCUACACAAGGGGUGCAACCCGCCUCUCAUUCACAGGGAUGUGAAGGCGGCCAACAUCCUACUGAAUGCAAAACUGGAGGCCAAGAUCGCCGAUUUUGGCUUGACAAAGGCUUAUCAUGACAACGAUACCCAUGUAUCUACAAACACACUUGUUGGUACACUCGGAUACGUUGAUCCAGAGUAUGCCAACUCCACUGCUCGUUACCAAAAACUCUUCACACAACAACAUCCACUCCCAGUUUUCAUUACUGACAACUCAUGCAACUCAAUUAUGCAGGUACCAUACGACGAUGCAGCCAACGACCAAAAGCGACGUGUACAGCUUCGGCGUCGUGCUGCUGGAGCUGGUCACGGGGAGGCCGGCCAUCCUGCGGGACCCGGAGCCGACGACCAUCAUCCAGUGGGCGCGGCAGCGCCUCGCGCGGGGCAACAUCGAGGGCGUCGCGGACCCACGGAUGCGCGGCGACCACGACGUCAACAGCGUGUGGAAGGCCGCGGACAUCGCUCUCAAGUGCACCGCGCAGUCGUCGGCGCAGCGGCCCACCAUGGCCGACGUCGUGGCGCAGCUGCAGGAGUGCCUCGAGCUCGAGGAGGCUCGCGCCGGUGGUGGUGGUGACGCGAACGGCGGCUACGACUACACCGGCAGCAGCAGCGACCCCUACUCGGGUUACAAUGCGCACGCCGCUGAUGGCCAGUUCACCGACGACGUGAGCCAGACCAGCACCGGGUUUGAGGUGGAGCACCACUUUGGAAGGGUGCCAACAAUGCCGACGGGUCCUGCUGCACGUUGAAGACUUUGUUGCCGGUCUGGUCCGAAUGCCGCUGUCGUCUUUGGGUUUUUUGCUUCAGGAGAUCUUCUCGACAUUCUCAAUGAAGCCGUUCAGUAAGUGCAUAUAUACGUAAAAUGUUCGACAUUUGAAGUGUGUGUAAAUUUUUCGUCUCCUUUCGACACCUCAGAAUUGGUGCACUAGUACUCGUCUAUUCUUUCCACAAUAGGACAUUCAUGCUAUUCUUCAGUCAGUGUAUAUGCUGCAUUUGCAUAUAUUUUUACAACUUGGAAUGUAAUGGGGAACCUAACACCAACUGAUCAAGCGUUGAUGGCGAUGCUUAGUUUGAACUUCGGAUGUGUGCCUGCCAAUAACGGUAUAACCCCAUGGAACUAAUAGGUUCUUCUUGAUGGCGUAGUGCUUUAGGUUGUGCCUUUCUUCCUGCUCUUAAUGAAAAAUAUGCUGAGGCACGGUCGCGAAAAAAAAAACUAAUAGGUCCUUUGAAUUUCACAAUUUUAUACUAGUAUAUCACAAAAUUCAUUUUUCCACAGCUCAUCAUCAAUCCUCAACGUUGAAAAUUAAUGAUGAGGAACACGAAAUAUAAAGUGGCGGCCACAAGCCGUUCAUCAAACUAAGCUUUUAGAUUAAGUUAGUCUGAACAACUUGGUAAGUUGUGGGCUCCCGUGGACCUAAUCCCACAUGGUGGGAUGGCAGCUCACAAUUAUAUAUGAUGAGCUAAGAUUGCACGGAUUUUGUGCAAUAGUAUGUAUUGCUAGGUUUAAUCUCAUGUUGAAAAAUAAUGAUAUGAAGCAUAUAAGAUAGAGUAAUUUUCAACCAUUAGAUUAGUCUUUUCAGAAAAUUUAGGCCUAAAAUCUUUAGUUGGCUGUGGGUACUGGUGGAUAUAGCGGCCGAGACCAUGCUAUAUCUUGGUGAGUAGACCUGAGCAUUUCGAGCCCAGUCUGAUGAUUUGAUCCGAGCCUGUUGUGGGUUUUGACCUGCCCGCACAUGCUAUAGGACCGGGCUUGGUCAAUGAAAAUCAGUCUAAAUUAAUUUAGGCUCGCGAGCCAGAUGUAAAUUUAAGAUUACCAUCUUAACAUAUAUGAAAUAUAAAAAAUAGAAAUUAUAAACUUCUAAACUCCAAAAUCCACCAUGCAUGAAAUAGCGAGGGAUGGAUCAAACAGAAAAACCAUUGGUGUCAUCUUCAUAUAGAAUUAUUGUGUCCACUAACAAUCACUCAUUUUCUAUAGCACUUAGCAAAUGUUACUGGUCUCCUAGGACACUACUAAAUGACCUUAGCUCUGCCCCUGCCUUUAGCCUUCUAGCUUUGCUGGCUCGCGAGAGCUGCUCGCUGGCUCGAGCUAGCUCGUUGACAAAACGAGCAAAAACAGUUAAAAAAUCCAUAGAGCCAAGUAGAGCUAAACCGAGCUACGAAUGAGCCGAGCCAGCUCGCUAGUUUCUAGCUCAGCAUCUAGACCUUGGUACCACACUCGCACCCCAGACAUCGCACCCACUAUCCAGGAUGCCCCACGAGACUUGCCGAGCGCGAAACUGUGUCACCUUCCUCCUACGGCUCAUGGCCACCGCACCACAGAUCCCCUCCCUCCAAAAUUAUGUACUGAAUUUAUAUUACAAUUUAUAUAAAAAUAUAUAAUAAUAAUAACUUUAUGUGAUAAAAAUAUAUAAUAAAUUUAUGCAAACAAAUAUAUAACAAACUUUAUGUAGCAAAAUAUUCUAUACAAAUUAAUUUGUAAAAGGACCCGGAGCAAUUACCGUGCGGGGCCAUGUGGUGGUGCGGAUGGGGGAAGGGGAGUUGAGGAGCGCGGGAAAAUUUGAAUAUUUUUCAAAUGUUUGACCAUUUACAUUUACUAGCCAAGAUUACCACAGGGAAAUAAUUAAAGACAAGACAGCGAUAUUUGGACCAGACGGGCAGCGAAGUCUUUAUCGUGCAGCAGGACCCGUGGGCAUCGUUGGCGCCCUCCCAAAAUUGUGAUCCAUCUCAAACGCAGUGCUGCUCCGGCUCACGUCAGUGGACUGGCCGUCAGCAGUGGAGCCGUUGUAUCCCGAGUACGGGUCACUGCUGCUGCCGGUGUAGAAGCUGCCAUUCGCGCCACCGGCGCGAGCCUGCUCGAGCUCGAGGCACUCCUGCAGCUGCGCCACAACAUCGGUCAUGGUCGGCCGCUGCGCCGACGACUGCGCCGUGCACUUGAGCGCGAUGUCCGCGGCUUUCCACAGAGUGUUCACGUCGUGGUCGCCGCGCAUGCGCGGGUCCACGACGCCCUCAAUGUUGCCCCGCGCGAGGCGCUGCCGCGCCCACAGGAUGAUGCUGGUUGGCUCGGGGUCUCGGAAAAUGGCCGGCCUUCCCGUGACCAGCUCCAGCAGCACGACGCCGAAGCUGUAGACGUCGCUCUUUGUCGUCGGCUUACCUGUUGCGUGGUACCUGCAUGUUUUUGUUGCAUGAAUGGAUCGUCCGAGAAAUAAGGGAGAAAGUGAGUGGUUUGACAAAAAAAUGGGGUGGGGGAUUGACAUACUCUGGGUCUACAUAUCCUUGUGUACCGACAAGGGUAUUCGUGGAUACUUGCGUGCCAUUCUCGCGACUGAAGGCCUUGGUCAAGCCGAAAUCGGCGAUCUUGGCCUCCAGUUUGGAAUUCAGUAGGAUGUUGGCCCCCUUCACAUCCCUGUGAAUGAGAGGUGGGUUGCACCCUCUAUGUAGGUACUCCAGACCUGCAUGCACAGCAGCGUUCACGAUUAGAGCAUAAUCAAACCUUCAGCAACAAACUGACUGCAAAUGGAGUUCAUAAAUGUGUACCUUGCGCUGAUUCCAGUGCAAUUCUGAGCCUCUGUGCCCAGCUUAAGAAUCCUCCAUUGUGGCCAUUUCCUGAAACGGAUUGGUCAAACAGAAGUUCAUAUUUAUUCACAAAUGCACUUCAAAACGGUACUUUAGAUGAGAAACAGCUGCAUCUCGUCCAGUUUGCAGAACUGCUACAUAACUUUACAUACCUGAAAUGUGCUCUUGCAGGGUUCCUUCUGACAUGUACUCGUAGACAAGUGCCAUGUACUCCCCAUCCUUGCAGUACCCGAUCAUAGACACGAGAUUCUUGUGGUGAAUCCGGGUCAAGGUCUGGGCCUGCACGAGUGAUUAAGACUAGUCAAAUUUCACUGCAAGUUUUACAUGCAAUCUAUAUCUGCAAAAAAGAAAUAAUCCUACCUCUGCUAGGAACUCCUUAACACCCUGAUUGGAAGAAUCCGACCGCAGCUUGACUGCCACCUGGGUACCAUCCUCCAAGAAGCCAUCGUAGACUUUCCCGAACCCUCCUCGGCCGAGUACGCGCUGGAAGUUAUUCGUGAUCACCUCCAGCUCCUUGUACGUGAACCGGCGGUUCUCAAGCUGCAGCGAGCUCUGCGGAUACGCGUCGCCUGUUGGCACAUGGCUCCUCGGCGUCUCGUUUUGAGGCUUCACAGAGUUAAUCGUCGUUCCUGAAUGGCAGUAACACAACGCAGGAGGCGUCAGUUCUAUGUUCAGGAUUGGGGAGAUUGAUGGAGAAAGCAGUUGAUGUGUCACCUCGUUUUUGUCGUCUUAGGAUGCAGCAGAGUAGUACUACCACUGAUACUAUUGCCACAACUAGAACUACAGGAACGGCUAUGUAGAUGGCUAGCUUGCUCUUCCCUUUCGUCGUCUGACACGAGUUGCCGUUGCUGCAGAGGUUUGAAUUAUUGCCGUAUCUGCAAAAAAGAUGAUGUGAAGAACUGAAGAUAGUAAUACUACUUUAAUCAAACUGUCAAGCAGUAAUGCAGUAUCAUGUUUGCUACUAUAUCCAAAAGAAAACCAAGGAAUGGACCUUAGAUUCAGGGAUCCUUCUUGGAUUUUUUUGAGAAGUCCAGAAGGGAUCGAUCCGUUGAGCUGGUUGGCAGUAAAAUCUCUAAAAGAAACCAAAUGUUAUCCAUGUGAGUCAAAAUGAUGCAUAAGAACGUUCAAUUCCUUCCCAUUCUUUCUGUAAGUGGGAAAACAUUCAAAAUUUUGGCAGGUUGGCAGACUUACAGAACUGUCAGUGAAGAUAAUUGCGAAAGGGAAUCAGGGAUCGAACCUGUCAAGUUGUUGUGUGACAAAUCCCUGCAAGACGCGGACCACACAAUAUAUCAACGUUUUCGUUUAAGAUACACUACAAAAAUUAAAAUAGACCAAGAACUCGACUCGUACAUGUAUUGGACGGCCUUGAGAUUUGCAAAAGAAGAUGAUAUAUCACCGUUCAGACCGCUGAAGGAUAGAUUUCUGCAGAAUUUCCAGCGAGUCAGUUUCUAACUAAAGUGAAUUAGCUUUUCGUUUCCAUUUUUUCACGAGCAUAAUGAGUCACUGUUCAGUAAAAACUCGAACCCUUACACGCCUGUAAUUCUUGGAGGACUGGAAACGGCGUAGCUGCACGUCAACCCUUCCCACGCAAGAGUCUUUGGAACGCAUGGGUCACCCAUCCAGUUCUUCUGCACAUGAUACUUCGCCUUGAUCGCCGUGAUGGCAGAUACUGUCAAUUGCACACAGGUUAAUUUUUCGGCUGAUUUCAUGGUUCUUUGCUAAAUCAUCAGCUCAUCUGCUGUGCUUAUGUAUAUGUCUGUCCACGAGUGCAUACCGUCCUGGGAGUCCGUGGCGACGUUGGUGGUGGAGAUGACGGAGAACACCUCGAUGGCGUUGAUGAUCGGCGGCAGUGUCGAGUUGGCGGUGGCGUUGAUGGAGAUGUUGUAGUGCGCGAGCCCCCUAUAGGGGUUGCUGUUGUAGGUGGCGUCGGUGGUGAGGUACGGCGGCGUGAAGGGCUUCGGGUACCACGGCUUGCCGUCGAGGUUGAUGUAGAACUGGCGCGUGGCGUUGCUCGGUAGGAGCUGCAGCUCGGUGAAGUGCAUGUUGGCGACGUACCCCGGCGUCGGGUUCUUGGGCUGCGGCUCCGGGUCCCAGGAGAACUCGAUGUUCUUGGAGGCGUUCCGCGGCGUGAUCGCCGUCUGCAUCACCUUGGACGGCGCCUCGAACAGGUCGUUGUCUAUGUUCUGCACCCUCUGGGUCGUCGAUAUCGAGUUCCAGCUCGUAGCGUCCACCAAGGGCAACCAGAAUCGGUCGUGCGGAUCAUCAGGGUACCUGACGAUGUCCGUGGCAUCGGUGGGGCCGAAGUUGAUCCUGCCGAGCAGGACCAGGCCCUGAGUUGCGUUUGCCUGCGGGUAGAGCGUGCUCUUGAGCGGCCUCAGGUCCAGCCCGGAGAUGAACGGCGUGCCGGUGCCGGUGUUCACCAGGCAGACCUGCACGAAAUCAUCCGGCACGACGACGAUGGCCUCGAGGAGCAGAGGGGUGUCGGCGUCCGUGAUGUUCGCCAUGCUCCAGAAGUUGACGCCGAUGUAGACGUCGAAGAUGGGCGGCCGGCCGAGGCCGUCGUAGUUGCCGUACUUGAAGGUGGCGCGGACGAGGUACUUGAGCCCCGCGACGAGGGACCGGAGCGUGUAGCAGUUGCGCGCACCGUCGGGGAAGCUGCGCACGUUGAGGUAGCGCUUGCCGAGCUUGGGCGUGAUGUACUCGGCCGAGAUGUUGUGGUUGGAGCCGGCGUCGACGAAGGCGGCGUCCGGGGCGUACGACAGCGUGUUGGUGUCGUCCACGUAGCUCGCCGUGCCCGAGAGCCCGCAGUCGAUGCUGAUGAAACCUGCAGUAACGUAACCGCGCACGAUCCCUUGUUCGUCAAAAUCGUAGCUAGUGCAUGGUAUGGGACUACACUACCCUACAGAGUGGUGAAUUGUGAAUUUGUGAUUGAUCACCACAUUCUCCAUACCAUCCACUCCAUCCAAUCCAUGCAGCUGGGAAGAAGGGAAGUGUUGAACAUACCGAUGCUGUCGGGCUGGGCGCGAGCUUGGAGCACGCCGGCAGUGGCGACGGCGGCGAGGCAGAGAAGCAGCAGCCACGACCUUGCCGCCAUUGUUCUCGCCGUGGAUUGCUCCAUUGCACAUGCAAGCAGCCACCGGAGCAUAGUAUAUGAAUAUGUUCAGUUCAACUAGCGGCGCUCCUUUUAUGCAGCGGGCACAUAUUCUGAGACCAGGACAGGGCAGAGAGUCAGAGAGGCUCGAUCCUGCACAAGCUGGAGUAUCGCUCUAGGACUCUAGCUAAGCACAUUUGCUUACAUGAUUACAUCGACACCACCAUAAUCAGCCACAUCAGCACCGAUAUCUGGCCAAACGCCCCAACGACGUAGCCGCUGCAAGUCGUCGAGCCUGGCUUAGGAUAGGACAAGACGUGCAGAAACGAGUCACUGGCGAAUGGGCCCUGGUCUAAUCUCCGGCCACCUCGUCGGGGGACCGGCAUGUCAGCGACCGUGUAUGAUACUGGCAGCGAACAGAGGAAGAGAUGAUCUGUACGCACAUGGGAAUGGGAGGAGCGUUGACUUGCCCUGGGGGGCUGGUCAACGGCCUUGCUGGGAGUACGACUUUGGAGCCCAACUUGAGGGGCCUACGAGCGCCAGCGGACUGCUGACUUUUUAGCGGCGCCGGAAACUGCGAACAGAAUUCUGGAGGGAGCUUGUACGCGUAUAGAGGAUAGAAGUUGCUGUGGGCAGCCGGAAGUAGCACAGCCGGAAGUCCUACAUUUCCAUGGCGCAAAUCGCAUUCGACGCCAUUGACGAAGCCGCAUACAACCUGCAAGUGCUGAAACUGAUACUGGCGUUUUGCACAAGAAAGCACAAGACUUGGGUUCGUGCAACGCGAUACAGAAUGUCGUGACAAAACGCGUACUUUGAGUUCCACUUGCACGGUUGCACCAUCUUACGGAUGAAAAUUUGAAAUAUCGAGAGGACAUGGUCACGUCAUGUAGCUUACAUUACAUGCCUAUACCCCUUUUGCUCAGUUCUGCUGCUGGUAACCAAGUAGGUCUAAUGGGCUGUAAUGAACUUACCAUCAAAUGGGCCAUAGUAGACGAUGGCCCAUGGUGAAUAAAUACAGAGGCCUUAGCGGACAACACACAAACAGUGCAGGAGGUAAGACUCAACAGCAGACAUAAUCAUCGACUGAUGGCAUUACACUGAAUACUCUGCAGCAAAUUCAAGAUAGGUCAUGUACAACUUCAUCACCGGUUUUCGUUUUAUUGCUCGGGUUAUCAGGAUAGUGUCCUCCUCCACAGGCAUCUGCUUAUCAAAAGCAAAAUUGGUAGCGUGGCAAAGCUCAACAGCUCCUGUACACAUUCAGGGUGCACCAGCAAUCACCUAGAUCUCUCCGUUGGAAGAAGUAGAUGCAGACUGCUCAAAAGAGCUCGCCACGCGAUGGCUGGCGCCCGUUGGCAAUGGUGGCCUGUUGGCAAGCCUAUCGGCCUCGCUCGCUUCAUCGAUGUCCUUCUGACUCAAGAAGCUUGGCUGGUUGGUUGAUGAGAGCAGCCUCGCCCACAUCCUGUCGGUGAUCCUAACCUUGUUCCUUGUAGAUGUCACCCUCUGCCAUAAAAAAGAGAAGUUCAGUGGUUAUCAUUAGUAUGUAAAUUGCAAUGUGCAAACUCUUUCAUUUCGUCUGCAAAUUGCAAAUGCACACCCCAAAGCUCUUGCUGGGUCUAGGCAGGGUUUAACAAAACUAUACAGCAGACGUUACAACAAACGUGCAUUAAACUAUCACAGAAAUAUUGUGGUGCCUUUGUAAAUGAGUGGUUAUUACUUAUUACUCACAUAGAAAGGUAUAAAGGUAUGUCUACCGUUGACCAUUCCAACGGUGAAGCUAUACCCUGCCAUUGCACCAUGGAUAGCACUAUGAGCCAGAAGUGUGCAGUAAACAUUGUCUGAUGCAUUGCUUGGAAUGGCACGGAUCAUGUAUGUAGGAUCUGCCAAUUUAGAUGGAAUAUUGUUAAAAACAGAUGUAGGUUGUUUUACAACCAUAUACGUAGCUAACAUGAUUAGUUAAGUGGCUACCUAUGUAUUUAAUCGUCAUCUCCAUCUUUUUGCUCUUGAAGUAAUCCUACAAGGAAUUAACACACGUGUUAUGAACUGAAACUUUCAAGCGAAACAUAUGGCAGUACUAUAGUCUCAGAGACAGUGGAGACCAAAUACAACACAGAUAAUUGACUUGAGUCCUGUAAGAAAGAUUUUGGCUAUCUACCUUUAUCUUGUGAGUCAACCAAAGACCAAUGUCAAGAAGCAGCUUAUUUCCUGAUGCAUCUUGUUGAUCUGAUUUGGCUAUACUUUGUGCAAUAAGAUCCUGCCCUGCUCCCUCAGCAACAACGAUAACCAUGUGCCUGUUCUCUUUCAGCCUCCUUUCUAUAUAUUGAAGCAAUCCACCUUCUCCAUCCAUAUAAAAUGGAGACUCUGGAAUCAAACAGCAGUCCUAGGGAAAUUGGAAGUGAGGUAAUAAAUCAGAAAACUAUAAAAUUUAAUAAUUAUUUCAAUGCCACUGUUUGAAUAAAGACACUCCAAAAACCAAAAAAAGAAUGCAGUGCAGAACAUAACAUCCUGCAGGUAAAGAAGGCAUUAACUUACCACAUCUCGACUAGCAAGAGUAGCAUACAUCGCAAUGAACCCUGCAAUAGUAGGGCAAGACUCGGAACUCAAUGAACAGAACAUGAAUGAAAACUGUUAUAAGUUGGUAAAGUCAUGAUGCUUGAAAAGGAGAGUGCUCUUCGCACUGAAUUCAAAGUGCAAAUGUGCUAUGUGAAUAAGAGUGCCUGGUAAAAGAAUACGAUAAUUAUUGGUUUUUCUUCAUUUCAUUGCAAGUAUGCUAAGUGCUUUCAAUAACUUAAUUGCCUAGAUAUCAUUGAGAUUACUAUGCAAAGAGAUAGCAGCCAUCUGUAUGGAAUAUGUUAGGAAACUAACCACUAUAACGACCCAUCAGUUUUACUAAGCCUAUUCCAUUCUCAGCACUGCAAGCUUCAACAUGAGCUGAAUCAAUGGCUCGCUGGGCCUCUUCCACAGCCGUAUCAAAACCAAAGGACUUGUCGAUAAUCUAAGAAUCAAGAGAUUUGGAGUCACAUCCUCAUAUGAUCACUUUAUUAGCUAUGUCGCAAAGGAUUUUUGCAUUUGCGAAACCUUACCGCAAUGUCAUUAUCUAUUGUCUUGGGGACUCCAGCCACAGAAACUUUCAAGCCACGUUUUCGGAUUUCCUGCCAAUAAGUGACAUAUUAGGGUAAAGUAAAUAUCUUCAGUAAAACCCAUUGUUUAACUUCCACAGUAUUUCCUACAGUACAAAGCAUAUAGGUGGACAAUAUUCUUUCUAUAGUAGUAUAUGUUAACAAAAUCAGCACAUCUUCUAUUUUGUACCUAUUACUACAAUGCUAUUUUUUAGAGGCUGCUUAUUAAUAUAUCUUCUACAAUCAUGAAGGAAAAGGAUAUGUCACGAGUACCACAUGCCCAGUGAUAAUUACCUUGAAUAUCUCAUAUGCUCCCUUCUGAGUUCCAUCUCCUCCAAUGAUAUACACCUGGUUAAAAUGUGCUAGUAUAUCAGUCAACAUCCAAUCAGAAGAGCUAUGUCGAUGGGUGCAAUUGUAAAAUCAUGCUUACCUGAUUAAUACCACGAUCUUGAAUGUUAUCAACAAUCUUUUUUGUAUCAUGACCACCUCGUGAUGUCCCUAGAACUGUACCACCCCUUUUGUGGAUGUCAUUGACACUCUUUGGUGUCAAGGGAAGGUAGUUGCUAGAAUAAAAACCUUUAUAUCCAUUCUGUAAUUAGUAUAACAUGUUAAGACAGUGGACUUUGAACCAUAGUCAGUUUUUUAAAUAUACUGAUCAAAACUGAUUACCCUAGACUGGCUGCAUCCUACUGUAUGAGAGGAUUACCAUAUUAAACCUACCAGUCAGCAUACAUAUUGGUUGCUGGCAUAUAACCUUACUCGAAAUGGACAUUUGACUAAAACAUCAACAUUGGUCUAUACAUCAACCUUUCUUUCUUCACUUAAAGAAGGAGAGCAAAGCCUUUUUUUAUAGCUCUCUUAAUUGAUGUAUCAGGGUCCCUCCUGUCAGCCCAAAUGAAUCACUUAAAAAAGGAGAGCAAAGCCUUUUUUAUAGCUCCCUUAAUUGAUGUAUCAGGGUCCCUCCUGUCAGCCCAAAUGAAUAGCUUACAUGGAAUGGAAAUGAUUCAUUUAAAUACGAUCUAAAUUUUUGUACACAACACACUAAAACAUGAUACAAUAGGCUGUGACAAGAAUCUAAGUAAACUGGCCAUUCCAUUAUUGAACAACAGCAAGCUACAGUGGGGUGCGUGUUUUAAUAAAGCAUGUGUCAGAUGCAUGGUUAGAGUUUAACUAUUCAUUGGAGUGAUAUAUAGCAAUUAACAAAAGGACACACACCUGUAUUCCAUAGAUGUUAUUGACAUUGUACAUGUGUGACAAGCCACACACCAGUUCUCUGAUAACAGUGUUAAGCCCAGGGCAGAGGCCUCCACAAGUUACAAUGCAGGCUUUUACUUCAUCGGGGCCAAAAUAGACCUACAAAGGCUCAAGUAUAAAGGAUUCUGUCAGCCUAGAAACAAGUGAUGUGUUCCCAUAAACUAUGAGGUGACUAGCGGAUACCCUCUGACGAGGCCCGGCACGACGGAAGUGAACACCGCGCCGGCUGUUCUUCUGAACAACCACCUGUAAAAACAGCAGAUAUAACUGCUAGUAAAUUCACCGUCAACCACAAUAUCCCAACAAAUAAAGUUUAUAUUUCUCGUGUGUUACCUUUUGAGGUACAGUAUCAUCUUCAUUGACAAAAUACUGCCUGGUAUAAGAAGAAAAGUUCCAUCUUAACAUAUUUCGCAGAAACAAAUGCAUAGGAAUUGGCCGAAUAACUGAAAGCAUUUCAAAAAGUUUAGGAUAGGCAAGACAGUCCAUACUUGACAGUUGAAUAGGCAGGAUGAUCUUGUAAUGGAUUAGGAUAGGUCUGCCAACAAGAACAAAAAAAGCAAACUAUCAGCACAAUAAUGGGAGUUUUACCUCUUAAGUGAAUUAAAUUCAGCAUGCUUGAAUCUAAAAUAGACAAAUAUCACUGGUAUAGUAGUGGCCCUUUACUACAAAUAGACUGUAACUGCAUUUGGCAGGGAGCAUGAACCAGCCAAUAGUAAUAUCUUGCUUCCUACUUAGCCCGUCACCUCAGCGCCCAAAAAAACAAUCACCCGCCACCAAAACCACUCCGCAAUCCAUACUUAGCUAAAGUCGCACCUCAGCGCCCAGAAGCCGACAGCAGUGAGACCAUCGGCAUACAGGAACACGCGACCGUACCAACGCGCGGCACUCCCAAAAACUCAUCUCUAUACAUCGGUGGGAGGGGAGGCGGGGAGGGGAUGGAUCGGUCGUCGGCGCUCACCGGGAUGUCGGGGACGUAGUCGGUGAGGUGCGGCACGUCGUCGAGCACGUACCCGAAGUCGCCCUCGGAGAUCUUGACGUACGCGGCGUCGGCGAGGCUGACGGAGGAAGCGUUGCGCAGUGCGCGGAGGUUGGGGUAGGAGUCGCGGGAGAUCCGCACGCACGUGGCCGAGAACGGCAGCGCCGCCUUGGGCGGCCGCUCGGGGGACGCGUGCUCCCGCUCCUCGUCCCCGUCGUCGCGCCCCAGCUCCUCCUCCCGCUCCUCCCCAUCCUCCUGGCGGUGGUGGUGGUUCUCGUCGGCGUCGUCCGGCGGCAGGAUGAUGUGCGACGCCAUGGUGCGGGGGCGCGGCCUUGGGCGUGUCGCGCUCGCGGGUGGGGGAUGUUCCGAGGUUUAGCUCGAAUUGCUCUGCUGCCAGAAGCGGGCGAGGCGGUCGCGGUUCCAGCGGUUUUUAAUAAUAAACGGGCUCGGCGGGGAAAGAAGAGGGAGGAGGAGGGGUCAGCGGAGUCGUCUCCAUGCGGCUGGUUUUGAGGCAGCGGAAGGGGUGCGCGUGCGUGACUGCGUGUGGUUUUGCGGUUUCGCCAGCAGUUUGGUGCGGGCGGAUACGUGGAGUCGCGUCGCGGUUUUGGCGAGAGCGAGACGGUGGCCAUGCGGCGAUGGCCUCGGCUGGGCGGUCGGCGCCCGUAGCGGGGGGGAUGGAUCGGCUUCGGGAGUUCGGGGCGGUGCGCGGUGGGCUCGUGUGCUUUCCGCCAGAGUAUGAGCCUGCGCUUCGCCGCCGGUGGGGGGGAGGCAAAUGGCAAGUCGUCGCGAACUCGGGAAUCAGAUACCAGCGGUGGCCUCGCCCAACGCCGCCGUGCGGUCGGCUGGUUUCAGGAGGGUCCGUGACAUGGUCGGCCGGCCCCAGCGGCCCAGCCACAUGAGAGAUCGGGCAAGCAAACCGUAUGCCGCGCCGCCGCAACGCUGCGCGCGGGUCAAUUCCCGGCGUCGCCAUCGCGAUCGCAUCAUUCCUUGCGCCGCAGGAAAGGGCGCAGCGGAAUCGGGGCUCGUACGCGCGGCCCGGGCGCGGGUUAUGGAGAAACGGCGUACCAGGCAGGUCCGUCAUCCGUGUGCAUAAUUUUAUUCGGAACGUGACGAUGACCUGAUGAUAAAUAACAUCCACCGGGUCUGUGUGCCGGCUAGCGAGUCUUGUUUGUUUUGGGUCAUUUGGUCGGCCCAAAGCUAAUACAUUUGAACUAAUCUACUCGUAAUCUUAGAUUUAGUGACACCACUUGCAUCCCUAGUACCAGUCAUUGAGCUCUGUAGUCAUAAAUAGUACAGCUCGGGCUAUAAUGCUUACUGUACGCCGCUGGUGGCCAGUCCAUCGACGUGAGCCUGAGCAACGCCUCAUUCGAGAUGGAGCGUAACUGUGGCAAGGUGCCAACAGUGGGCUCAGGUCCUGUUGCACGAUGAAGUUCUUAGUUCUUACACAUUUGGGCAUUCCACGACCAUCCUUUCCACGUUUACUGUAAUCCGUUGCUAUUCUUCAGGCAUCAUGAUUGUCAAUUUGUAAUGGUUUAAAGCUUUGAAUAUGGAAACAAGGCAUGCCAAUUUUGUUUUUGGUGAGUGCUGAUACGAAUGUGCAGUUUCACAAAACUUAUCUCUGCUGCUCUCCAUCAUCCCCUGGUUUUGAACGGGAGACCGUGGAAACUUGAAUUCCACAAGAAAUAAACCAGCACUUAAAUUUCAUUCCAAACCCGUGCCAGCCAUGGAUAGUCGUACACAGAAUACAUAGAGGGAUAAUCCUAUGGUACGGCAUGUGGUUUCACAAAAACACAAUAACCGAUGGAAAAUGUUAAGUCAAAAUUGCAAAAGAUGCGUCUUUCUGGCCAGAAAGCUCAUUUGUCCAUAUCAAAUCUAUUACAUGCGGUAUACUCGGGAAAGAGUUGUGAAGUAACUUGCAUAUUUUCAUCAAAAACAUGAUGAGCAUGUGAAUGCAGGGAAUGGGCGCUAGAAACCAAAUGAUUAUUAUUCUACCUGAGUAACUAUCCAUCAAACAUUUGAUAGGCAAGUUAUUCCAGCUGAGGGCCAUUGCAGGCUUCACCUUCAAUUGUUGGAACAGGUCAUGCAAGUCCAAAUGCGAGUGCUCACUUUGAGUGAAACUUUCGGCUGACAGACUCGUAGCUUGGAACAUGAAUAACUGCAACAUGAGCAUUUCAGCCAGUCAUUAUACCUAAUCGUGCACCAUGACUUAACUUCAAGUUACUGAACAUACCAUCGCCCCAUGAUGCCAUUGUAAGCGGUGAGGACAUUAUCUUCUUUGCAGUUGACGAGAUGUCGUUCAAAGUGAUCUCCUCAACAGUUUUCAGGAAAUAUUCAAUGGGUUUCCUGCAAUUUUAGAGACAGAGAAAAAAUUUAGAUGAUAACAGCUGUACUGGCAGAAGUGAAUAAUGGUUACAUUUUUAAUUAAUGUCCUACUCUUGUGGACUCUGAAGAAAUGUUAUCUUACGCAGAACAACUGCAUGCAUUACAGUAUGCUAAGUAACUACUCCUAUGUCCUCAGUAGGCUUGGACUUGUUGGGGACCCAAUUUAUUCUGAAGUAAUAUCAUAAAAAAACAUCUAACAUGGCUACACUAGUAUUUUGGUGAGGACACAGCACAUAAAUAUAGCAGGAAAAUAGACUUGAUUUAUGUACCAGCAUAGCAAUACUCCUCAUACCUUUCCCCAUAAGUCAGAACCUGUCUUCCAAUAUCUUCAGAUGCUAUAGACUGCGAAAGGGGAAAAAAUAUGUAGUGUGAAGAACACUUUAAGGAAACAAGUCACAUAGUUGGGAUUUGAUCAGGAGAAAGAACAGUGUACCCUUGAUUCCAAGUUCAUCAGUACUGCAGAUUUGGUUGCCUCUUUAGCACGAUCAAGCUGUUCUUGUGAAACUAAAAGAGGCAAAAGACAGAAGACAAAGGAAUGUGACUGAUGAUGGUCAACCCAAUGUGGAAAUAUAUUCUAAUUUGAGAUGAUAGACAAGAAGGAAACCUUUUCCAGGAGUUGCAAUCUCAAGGAGUUCCCCGGCUGCCAAAUCCACAGCCUUUGAUGAGAAGUCUGGGCUCUGUUGAAUGAUAAUAUAUUUUUUUUGAAAAAAACAAUCAGUCAGCCGCAUUUAUUGCUUGAAUGCAAGGGCAUACACAGGUUAGACUAUGCUCCAUGAGAUGCUUACAGUGACUGCAUAAAUUCCAAAAAGACCCGAAUUGUUGUAGACACUGUUGAAAGCAGAGAAUGAUUCGAUCUGUUGGUAGUUGGUCAAGAUACGGAGAUCUGUAGGUACAGCAUCAAGGGUUGUGUUAAGAUACUUCACAAAGGUUUGCUUGUAGCUCUAAGACAAUAAUGAUUUGAAAAGAGGCAUACACAAUCGAGAAUGCAUUCCCUUUCCAGGCCCACCAGCAGAGAAGGACCCUCCUCCUCCCAUGAGCAUCUGCAAGUUAACAAAUUGAUUAACCUAUCUUUGAGGCAUUAUAGAUUUAAAUAUGCAUCUAUCACAUGCGAUAACAUAAAAAAACAAGUUAUAAAAACAUUAAAAGCAAUAACCCUUAUACAAAACAGGCAUAACCUCUACCAUCCAUAAAUAUUUAGAUCACUUCAACAGUUGUUAGGCAUACCUGAAGCACUGUCACAACCAUUGCAGUUUUCUCUUGAUUCCAGCCACCUGGCACCUCAAAAGCAAGUGCAAUGUGUGUGCUCUGCUCACGUGAAAUCAAAAUUUUAAGCAACAUGGAAGUAAAUAAUUCAUAACAACUAAAGAAUAAUGUUGCAAUGCCAACAACUCACUGGAGAAUCUGCUUGGCAACGAUAGUCCCCUCCCACGUACACUGAUUUUGGCUCUUCAGGACGUUUCACACUGGGAAGGUCAGAUAGAAGUGGUUCUACAACUGAAACCAAAGUAUCAUGCUCAACUCCUGAUGCUGCAAGAACCAUCCUGGGUGCCGUGUAAUGUUCCUACAUUUACCAGCACAAUAAAAAAUGUCAGAGAGAUGCCUUCGUGACUAAAAAUUAACUUGGGAAAUAAACCAUCGAGUCUUACAGCAACAAAUUCCUCCAAGAUGCUAACAUCCAAUCGGUUCACAGCGGAUUCAGAAGCCAUCAAAGGUUUUGCUAGCGCCCCAGAAUAUCCAGCUGAAUGAAGCGCCUCCAGUAGUAGGCCUUGAGGAUUAGCAGACACUUCAGCUAUUUCAGAUUUUAUCUUCUGGAGCUAUAGAAACCAAUGGCACACCAUUAGUACAUAGCUAGGGAAAAAAAACUUAAGUUUACUUAGUUGAUCAAGUACCUGCUCUUUGACCUCCCAAUCCAAAAACGCUGGAUUCCUCACACUGUCAAUGAGAACUUCAACCAUUUCUGGUGUAUAGCUCUUCAAUGCAUCAUAGGUAUAGCUCAUUUGUUCACGGGAAGCCGAAGCGGAGACAUUUCCUCCAAUGGCUUCUACCUCACGAACUAGCCGCAAGUGACUCCGAUUCACUGUGCUCUUGAAGGCCAUUCUCUCCAAUAGAUGCGACACUCCAGAUGAAGCAGGUGUUUCAUAAAUGGAGCCACAGUCAAUGUACAGACCCACUGAUACUGCUGGACUCUGAAGUUAAGUUCACAAGAAAACAUUAUUGUCAGGGGGGGGGGGGGGGGGUAUAACAUAAGUCAGUGAGUCAGUGAUGAGCCAUACCGCUGACGUCUCCGAGGCAAUCUUGACACCAUUUGGAAGAGUAGUGAUUUUUGUCUUAGAUGGCUCUACAAAGUCCGGUAGAGGUGGGGGAAUAGUAAUGCCUGGGAGCGGAACAUCAAGGGGGGGAAGUUGGCUUGAUUUUCCCCCAAGAAGCCAGCCAAACAGGCCACCUUGGGACUGCUUCACAACACUUGUACUAGCAAGCCUGGUAGCACCGUGAUGCUGAAAAUUGAAAACAAUACAGGUGUGAAAUAUGUCUUCAUGUUACAGAAUGUUUCAACAAUAAUAACAUCGAGCAAGUGAGAACCACAAUUCAAAGGGCAUGUGACGUGGAUGGAAUUUAUUUAACACAGCCAAAUAAAUGUGAGAAUUAACAACCCUGGCCAAGAAUUAACAACCAUAAUGGUUGAACGCCGAAUCCCAUAGGUAUAGAUUCGUAACUAAAGAAACAAAUACCAUGAAUCGGAAUUCCAUUCAUCUGUGUCGCUACAUGAAAACAGGACUAAAGAACCCCGCUUCAGACUCAUCGCCACUCGAGUAUAUGGAACCACGCGAUCCGUUUGGAUCCAAUCUAACUGCGCCCAUCGGCUCAUACCUAGUGGAUCGAGAACUCGAGAUGUGCAUGCAGCGGGGAACGGGAGGAGAAAGGGGAGAGCCCAACCUUGAGGGAGCGGAGGUGGCUCCCCGCAGCCCGAUACAUGGUUGCCGUCGAGGCGAGCCCCUGGAACUGCGGCGUCGGCGGCGGCGGAGGCGAGGGGCAGAGGAGGAGAAGCCGCCGGCGAGGGAUGGUGCGCGCGUGCAGAAGCUGAGGAGAACUGGUGCGGCGGAGAGAAAAGGCCAGGGUUCCUCCGCCUCGCACGCUGGGCCGCUGGAUCUGCAGGCCUCUUCUUGGUAGCCCGGGCGGGGAUUUGUGGGCUCCGCUAGGCCGCUGAUGGAUUUGUGGGCUCUGUUAGGCCGAUGAUGGAUUUAUAUAUCUACUAGGCCGCUUAAUUUGGGCUCUGUUAAGACUUGCAUCGGGUGAGCCGGUGAGGUGAUGGGUACCAAUAUUCUUUUCACUUCAAAACUCUAAAUUAUUUUUCACUAAAAAUGUAGAGCCAGUUUUAGUCAUUUUGAGCCUUUGUGUUAUUUAGAAUUAAUAAAAUAAAUUUUAAUGUUAAUAUAUUUUAAAUAAAAUUGAAAUAUUUUCUACUCAAUCUGAAACAAUUUUCUAAUGGAGCUAACUAACAACUUUUGCUUUAAAUCUGGAACAAUUUUCUCAUGAGAAAUAUUUUUUUCCUAAACUUUUUUCCAAAUCAUUAAGAAGUUCCAACUUUGUAAAUUUUUUUUUUUGAGAAUCAUGAUGAAGUGUGGCAUUAUUUUAAAAUUUUAUCAUAAGAAAUGUAAUGGUGAAAGAUGAAAUUUAAUUUGAAUGCUUAAUUUAGAAAUUAUGGACUUUUAAGUUUUAAAUUUUGUUGCAUGUGCUAAUAAAUUUUAUUUAUUCACACAUGCAAGCAGCACGGAGGAGACCAUUCGUGACGAGUGACAAAAAAAUCGCGCAUGUGAUGUAUAAUAGCUCCCUUCAUUUGAAUGUGAAUGUAUUAGGCACUCUAGCCUUUUUAAGAAAAGUAAAGGACACUCUUACCUGCUUUUACAGCACAACAUUUUUCACACAACUUGGAAAUUACAGUUCCGAAAGCUAGCUUGCAACUGCUAACCCAACAUCUUACUAGAUCUGAACAUUCUUGCAAAAUCACCUUCAGUGCACUACAUAGCAACAGACUAGAAAGCAUGCUAAAAAAUAGAGUUCACCAGUAAAAGAUCGUCUAGAAGUCUUAUUUUCGUGAAGAGUAAUAAAAAGUAGCAUGACCAAUCUCUUUUUCAUGAAGAGUACUCAUAAUUUCUUUUUAACAAUACAAACUGGAUUGUCUGUGUCCUGCUGUGGGAAGAACACAUACAAACUUACAAAAAGGGUAUAUGGAUAUCCAGUAUUUCAAGGUCUUGUGCAGAGAAGAGAAAAAAAAGACAAGAAAUUAAGCUGCAUACGCUUCUUCUUUCUUUAGAGCAAAACUAUAACGUCUGAACCAUUGUGUAUUCGAAGCAGCUUUUUGGUAAACGACACCAUUGAAAACCGCAAGAACAUCAUCGUGCGACAGGACCUGUGUCCAUUCUUAGCUCCCUCCCAAUAUCAUGUUCCAUCUCAAAUGCGGUGGUGCUGCUCUGGUGCGCGCCAAUGGACUGGGCGCCGUCAGCGGCGUACGCGUUGUAACCUGAGUUCGGGUCGCGGCUGGUGCCGGUGUAGAAGCUUCCGGUUGCGGCAUCGCCGGUGUGCACCUCCUCCAGCUGAAGGCACUCAUGCAGCUGCCCUACCACUUCGGUCAUGGAAGGCCGCUGCGAGGACGCCUGCAUGGUGCACUUGAGCGCGAUGUCCGUGACCUUCCACACGCUAUUGACGUCGUAGUUGCCAUGCAUGCGUGCGUCCACGACGCCCUCAAUGUUGCCGCGUGCCAGGCGCCGGCGCGCCCAAUCGAUUAUGUUGGUGGGCUCUGGGUCACGCACGAUGGCCGGUUUUCCUGUGACCAGCUCUAGAAGCACAACGCCAAAGCUGUAUACGUCGCUCUUUGUUGUCGGCUUUUGUGUUGCAUAGUAUCUGCACAUUUUGAUUGCAUCAGCAAAUCGUUGGAGAGAAGAAAAGGGAACAUGUGUGAUUGAGUAAAGGGAUUUGGGAUUGACAUGCAUACUCUGGAUCAAGGUAUCCGUGUGUACCGACAAGUGAGUAUGUGGAGACUUGCAUGCCACUGUCGUGAUUAAAAGUUUUCGACAAUCCAAAGUCAGCAAUUUUGGCCUCUAGUUUUUCAUUUAGCAGGAUGUUGGUCGCCUUCACAUCCCUGUGAAUGAGAGGUGGAUUGCACCCCCUGUGCAAAUACUCCAGCCCUUUGACACGUACAUUAAUGUUGUCCACGCUUAUUAUAUCAAAACAAAAACAAUAUUUAUUGGACUAUUGAUUUCAAAUUCAAAAAUACCUUGUGCUGAUUCGAGUGCGAUUCGAAGCCUCUGCGUCCAGGUUAAGCAUCUUCUACUACUGCCGUUUCCUACAAACAAGAUUGGUGGAAGGAGCAAUUCAUCAUAUCAAAAGGAGGCACAGAUGAUCAUAUGGAUCGGUAACACUUUAGAUCUUGGAAGUUUGAAGUGUUACAGAGGGGUGCCAUGCAAAUUGGACUGCUUUUCAAAUUUCAACUCUCAUGGUCAUAGGUAGGCCUGCUAAUUGGAUUGUAAUCCAACUCUAACCCACACCAAUCCACAUCAAGUUAAUUUAUUUUUUAACCCAACUCACCCUAUAUUUAUUAUCUAAACCCAAGCCAAUUCACCCUACUAUCAACGAACCCAUGGGUUUGAUAUAAAAAAAUGUGGUUUGCUAUAUAAACCUAUGGGCUCAUAUAAAAACUCGUAUAUAUUUGAAAUAAAUGUGAGUCCGACAUGUGGAUCCUACGUCAAGAACCGGACUCUAACACUAAAACGUCGUGUUUCACACCUUAAAAUUUUAGCAAAAUUGAUCGAAAUUUGUUGAAGAUGACAGAGUUUGACUGCCCGUUACUUUGUGCUAAAUAGAAUGGCUAAAUAUACAUUUGGGCCCCGCAUUAAGAGCCAGACUCUGGAAUUAAAAUCUCGCAUUCACACCUUAAAAUUUUAGCGAAAUUCAUCAAAAUUUGUUGGAGAUGACUCAAUUUGAUUGCCCACUACUUUGUGUAAAAUAGUAUGGCUAAACAUACAUGUGGGUCUCGCGUCAAGAGCCGGACUCUAGAAUUAAAAUCUUGCGUUCACACCUUAAAAUUUUAAUGAAAUCCAUCAAAAUUUGUUGGAGAUGACUCAAUUUGACUGCCCACUACUUUGUGUAAAAUAGUAUAGCUGGACAUAUGUUAGGGCCCCAUGUCAAGAGUCGGACCCUCGAACUAAACCUCCCUUUCACACUUUAAAAUUUUAAUGAAAUUGAUCGAAUUUUGUUGGAGAUGACUCAAUUUAAGUGUCCGCUACUUUGUGCAAAAUAGUAUAGCUGGACAUAUAUAUGGGCCCCACGUCAAGAGUCGGACCCUCGAACUAAAACCUCCCUUUCACACUUUAAAAUUUUAACGAAAUUGAUUGAAAUUUGUUGGAGAUGAUUUUGUUUAAUAAUUAGCUACUUCAUGCGAAAAAUUAUAGUUGGACUUAUAUGUGGGCCCACGUUAAGAAUUGGAUCGUUAAAUUGUUCUGUGAAUCAAACCAAUACAACCCACUCUAAACCACUCCCAAACUAUUUUCUCUUAGGAGGAAUCCAAACUAAACCAAACCAUUUGAUGAAUCAGUCUAUUAAUAACCAAUCUAAACAACUUUCCAAAGAAAUCCAAUACCUUAAAACCAUUAAACCCAAUCCAAUUAGCACGGCUAUGGUCACAGGACAUACCUGCAAUCUGCUCAUGCAGGGUGCCCUCUGACAUGUACUCGUAGACAAGUCCCAUGUGGUGCCCGUCCUUGCAGUAGCCAAUCAUGGACACGAGAUUCUUGUGAUGAAUCCGUGUUAAGAUCUGUGCCUGAAAAAGUAAUCAUGGCUAAUCAGCAAAUGCCAACGUGGAAAUUCUUGGUGCAAAUUCUGAAGAAAUUCUACCUCUGCGAGGAACUCCUUGACACCCUGAUUAGAAGUCUGAGACCGCAGCUUGACCGCCACCGGAGUACCAUCCGCCAAAGAGCCACUGUAGACUUUUCCGAACCCUCCUUGUCCGAGCACACGCUCGAACUUGUUCGUUAUGACCUCUAAUUCCCUGUACGUGAAUUGACGGUUCUCAAGCUGCAGCGAGCUCUGCGGGUGCGUCGCCGGCGUCUCGUUCUGAGGCUUCACAGUGUUGGUAGUUGAUCCUGAAUGGGCAAAUAAACCCAAAUUGCUAGAUUAGGGUGGGUAAAUUGCUAAAUCAGACAGUUUUGGUAACCUAUUCACCUUGCCUUUUCCGUCUCAUGAAGCAAAAGAAUAAUGCCGCCAGUAGUCCUAUAACCACAAUCAGAACUACAGGGACUGCAAUGUAGACGGCAUGCUUGCUCUUCCCCUUUGGCGGCUUACAUGACUCGGCGUCGGUGCAAAGGUUUGGGUUAUUACCAUAUCUACAAACAAAUGAGAAUCACGAAAUGAUAAAACAAAAUAUGCUUCUGCAAUAGGUUGUUUAACAAGAAUCACGAAAUGUACUGUAGAUUUAGGGAGCCUUCUUCAACUCUUUUGAGAAGUCCAGAAGGGAUUGAUCCGCUGAGCUGGUUGCCUGUCAAAUCUCUGAAAGAACCGAAUGCUUCUUAUGUGAGUUAACGUGAUGCAUUGCCGCAUUGGGGCCAGAUAAAGCAAAAUUUUAUAGGUUAGCAACUUACAGAACUGUUAGUGAAGGUAGCUGUGAAAUGACAUCAGGAAUUGAGCCUGUCAAGUUGUUAUAUGAUAGAUUCCUGCAAAUAUGGAUCAUGAUGAGUCUUGAUUUAUUUAAUUUGUUACAGAGAUCAAGAAAUCAUUUUGCGAUGACACUGAAAUACAUCAAGAACUGAUGUACACAUACAAAUAUCGAAUGGCCUUGAAAUUUGCGAAUGAAGACGAUAUAUCACCGUCCAAACCACUGAAUGAUAUGUUCCUGCAAAAUAUUUGAAAAAACAGUCUAAGCCUAGCCUUCUCUCUUAACCCAAUUAAGAUACUAAUUACUCCUUCGUCACAAAUACAUGACAUCAAACAUCAUGGACAAAACCCAGUCAAAGUUUUGGAACUUUUACUCUCAAUAACUUUUGGAAUGCUUAGUGUGAAGGCAUUGGAUUAUAUGUCCAUAUUUCUUCUUAUAAGUAAUUUUAUUUUUUGCGAGGAAUUCUCAUAACUAAUUUCAUUAUUUAUCUGUUUUUAUUGGGAUCAUGUCAAACGUUGGAUCUAUUUUUCUUUACUGGAGGAGUAGCUUUUCCCUUUUUUUAAAAAAAAAUGUUGGCAGAGGAUGCUAAAUGUUCUAAAAUAGACUAAUUGUUUCGUUUGUGUCUUAAACGUCAGACUGUCAGAGUCUUGAGCACAAGUUAGUGUUAUGUACUCCAGUACUUACACGCCGGUGAUUUUUGGAGGAAUGGAUACACCAUAGCUGCAAGUCAAUCCGUCCCACGCAAAAGACUUGGGACCACACGGGUCACCCCUCCAGUUCUUCUGAACGCGGUACUUCGUCUUGAUCGCCGUGAUGGCAGAUACUGUCAGUUUAAGACCAGACGCGUUGCUGGCUUAUUUAGCCAUGAGCUCAUCUGGAUGCAGGAUGCUCAACUCAUGAUGUGUUUCUACACGCACAUACGUACCGUCCUGGGAGUAUGUGCCAGCGUUGGUGGUCGAGAUGAUGGAGAAAACCUCGACGCCGUUGAUGAAAGGCGGCAGCGUUGAGUUGGCCGUGGCGUUGAUGGUGACGUUGUACCGGGCGGAGCCCGCCGGCAAGGGAACAUCACUGUAGGCGGCGUUGCUGCGGAGGUAGUCCGGCGUGAUGCCGCCCGGGGACCACAGCUCGCCGUUGAUGUGGAUGGAGAACUCGCGCACGGAGUUGUUGGGGAGGAGCUGCAGCUCGGAGAAGUGCAUGACGGCGGUGUAUUGUGGCGUCGGGUCCUUGGGCUGCGGCUUGCUGUCCCAGUAGAAGUAGAUGCCCCUGGUGGCGUUGCGAGGCGUGAUCGCCGUCUGCAUCACCUUCGACGGCGCCUCGAAGAGAUCGUUGUCUAUGUUUCGCACCUUCUCCGUCGUUGAUAUCACGUCGUAGGUGGCGGCGUCGAUCCAAGGGUACCAUACUCUGUCGUGUGGAUCGUCGGGGUACCUAAUCGAUCAUUGUUAUUUCCGAUGUCAAGAUUUUGUGCCUCUGUCAGACAUGUUAAUGGGCGUGGAUAAAUGCUGGUGAUGAUAUAGAGACUGGGAUCUUUUAAUUUUUGCUCACCUGACGCCGUCUGUACCAGGGCCAAAGUUGGUCCUGCCGAGAAGAACCAAGCCCUGCAUCGCGUUUGCUUGAGGGUAGAGCGAGUUCUUGAGAGGCCUCAGGUCCAGCAACGAGAUGAACGGCGUCCCGGUGCCGGUGUUCACCAAGCAAACCUGAACGAAGUCGUCGGGCACGACGACGAUGGCCUCCAUGACCUCAUAACCAUCUGGGCUCGAGACGUUCACCAUGCCCCAGAAGUUGACGCCGAUGUAGAGGUCGAAGAUGGGCAGCUGGCCGAGGCCGUCGUAGUUGCCGUAUAUGAACGCGGCGCGGACGAGGUACUUGAACCCGGCGACGAGGGAGCGGAGCGUGUAGCAGUUCCGAGCCCCGUCGGGGAAGCUGCGCACGUUGUGGUAGCGCCUGGAGGGCACCUGCGUGAUGUACUCGGCGGAGAUGUUGUGGUUGGAGCCGGUGUCCGUGAAGCCGGCGUCCGGGACGGUCGACAGCUUGGUGGUGUCGUCCACGUAGCCCGCCGUCCCCGGGAGGCCACAGUCUAUGCUGAUGAAACCUGCAAUAACCGCACGCACAGUAUCGUUUUUAUUCGUUUCCAGCCGUGUAUAUAUGCUGGACGCAUUCAUGUACAUGAAGCUAUGUAGUCAUGCCGGCCACCUAUUCGUGCAGAGGUAUCUGAAAAUGUUGUGAAACCACUGAGAUGUUGAGCAGCAUACCUAUGCUGUCGGGCUGCGCUCGAGCUUGGAGUACUCCGGCGGUGGCAGCGGCGGCGAGACAGGUAAGCAGCAGCCACGGUUUUGCUACCAUUGUUCCUGGCUUUGAAUGCUUCUUCUUCAUACCACAAGCAAGCAGCCAAAGGAGCAUAAUAUAUGUUCAACUCUGUGUACGGUGCACCCUAUACGUAGUAGCGAGUCCUUGUAGCAGAUAAACAAGCGUCAACGCUCCCAAAGGUCCUCUGUACAGGGGGAGAAAAAAGAAGUCCCAGUUGCUAGGGGACAUUGACCACGUCAGCAACACUGCCAUAAUGUUUUACUCUAUCGGGGGAAACAGUUGGUGGUAUAUAAAGCUUGCGUGACACUCCACGCCGUGUAAAAUCGCUUGUGACGCUUUUUUCUUCUCUUGAUACACUCCACCUCAUGCGUAUUUCAGGGGGGGAAAAAAGUUCGGCACAUCUUUAUCCCGUACAGCUUGCCCAGCGCCGUUCGGUGCCCCUUUAGGCUACGGCUAGUCUUGUUGGGUUUAGAACCGUUAUGUUUGUUUUUAGCAUAAUUGAAAUGUAAAUGUCUAACACCAUGCAUUAUGAAUUUAUGAAUUUAUCUGUAGCCACAUAGCAUUGUAGAGACCUUUCACUGUUUGGUACAGAUAACAUUCGGAACACAUAUUUGGGUGAACAGAAGCAACAACAUUUUACAAAAAACAUACCUUGCCAAAUGGUCCGGUAUUUUACUCUUAAUCUGAAAGGACAAAGGUUUUGGAGAUGCUUAUUUGUCUGUUGACGGAAAUUCCCUUUUUUUUCCUCAUCAGCUUGCAGACCAGAUCGAGAGGCCUGCUCAAACGAAUUCUUAUUUCUUGCCCUGGCAGAUAGAUCGAGGUUUCCUAAGAGGAAGGGACUUUGUUUGUUUGUGCGAGUGUGCGACGGUGGGAGCUGUGAUCGUUGCGGGAGAAAGGACAUGCUAGAGCCGUGCCACAGCUAGAGUAACGCACUUGGUAACAUUAUUAUCCUUGGUCAAGUAGUAACGCACGGGUGAUUCAUGUUUCACAACUAAGAAGAAGGUGGGAAAUGAGUUGGAGGUGAGUGUAGAACUGCCAAAUCAAAGUGGGAAUCGCCUCGUGCAAACAAAAGGUACCGGCUGAAAUUCUUGAAAGGAAGUUGGUACAGAAGGGGCACGCAUCAACCGUCAUGGUAAAGGUACGAUGGUUAAACCUUCCAGAAUCGGAAAACUGCUGGGGGUCACAUAUAGUUGGUGUGCUUUGUGAACUGCGAUCUUGACGAUUGUUAUUUUAAAAAUUACAGAUAUUGUUCUAAACAUGUAUGUAUUUGUAAAGCUAACUCAUGAAAUUAUCUCUUUUACGGGUAGAAGACGACUUCAUCCCCUUAUUCCCGUGUCUUCCGGCUACUUUAUCCCCAACUUUGAUUUCACGUUUCUGUAAAAUAUAUACACGAACCAUUAUGUCAAGGGGGUCCCUCUGGAUCCAUUUCACAUCGAUAACGCGCCCUCGUUCAAAAAACUAUCCGUAGAGUAUUCAUACGUCAAUCGAAACCGACUCCACAAACUUUGGUAACUCCAACUUCAACUUCGAUUUUAUUAAUAACUACUUAUGAGACCUUUUUUUGGCACAUAUCCCUUAUCUCAAGUUUUUGAUCAAACCAAUCCAUUGACACAACGCAAAGAAAUGAGCAGUCCCAAAGGAAUGAACCGGAAUAUCCACCUUUAAAAGGAAUUAACUGAAGCAGCAAAUGCGCCUGUUCAGGCAAAUGCUGAAAACAGAGCUAGCACCCGCUAGUAACAGCAGCAUACAUAGCACCACUAGGAACAGCAUGGUUGGUCGAGUAGUAACUAAACGAGACUAGAUCGAUCCAGACAAAACAAAGAAACUUAUGUUGCAGAUGAAAUAUUAUUUCCUGGCGGACUCUGGACAAAAACAGAGGAUUUGGUAUAGCAAAGACCGUCACCAUCCCAAUAGAGGGCUCCAGAGAACACUCUAAAAGGGGAGCAUGUGGUCAACCACCAAGAAUCUAGCAGUGGGCCUAGCUUCGUACCAUGAUCAAUUCACUCUCUCUCGCGACAUGACAUUGUUUCACGCUUUUCCUUCGCUACUAGAAAUUUCUAGUCUAGUCUAGUAUAGUAUAGUCAUUUAUUUCCCAUUGAUGAAAUUUCUAGUCUAGUAUAGUUCUAGUAUAGUAUUUCUCGUUGAUUUGAUUCCUCAUCUCCAUAGUUGAAUAAUAAACCUAGACACAAACUAGAUACGGAAAUGCCUAUUUCAAGCACUGGUAUAGAGCUAGCAAGAUAAGGGAAAGACAAAGCAAGAAGGUUCUCCAGUAGGAUGAUUCUCGAUGCAAGAGAUUGCACUUAACCUUGAAUGCAAUUUAUAAAUUCGACAGCAAUAGUCCCUCGGACUCGAAAAGUAAUAACGAAAAUGGCUAAUCCAAUAGCAGAUUCCGCAGCUGCCACUGUUGGAACUAAUGAAGCAAAUGAUUGACCCAUCAUAUCAUCCAAAGAAACGGAAAAUACCAAAAAGUUCAAAUUGACAGCUAAUAACAUUGAUUCAAUUGGCAUUGACAUAAUAAGAAUAUUUCGUG
rnacentral:lncRNA from 1 species